UUUUUUUUUUUUGUACUUUGACAUAUCACUAAAAUUAAAUGAUAUUUUGAAUGCCUAAUUAGGCAAUUCAGCCCAUCAAUGAAUGUAUCAUAUGAUUGUGGUUUGGAAAUAAAAAUCCUUGCAGGCUGAUAAGGCAAAAUCAUCUAGGGUUAUCUCUAUGCCUUCAGCAGUUUGCAGGUAACCAUUAUUAUUCUUGACUCGCUGACACUCUAGUUUGGACAUGGUCAAGUUUCUUGGUGCUAAAAAUUGAUAUUGUUAUCCAGCCUGGUUUCUCUGUCAUCGGAUGAACACUACUUCUUAGGGAGCUCCAUGGAUGGAUCGGUAAGCUUGUUCUUAAUCAUUUUUUGUGGUAUCAAUGAAUGAGUAGCUGUGCUCAAUUUUUCACAGGAUUGAUUUGCCACUAACGAUAAUAUUUUCUUAAAACUCAGUGCAGUUUAACAAGAUGUUUUUUUGCGGGGGUAACAAGAUGUUAACUACUCCCUCCGUCCCAUAAUAUAAGAAUGUUUUUGACACUGCGGAGGGAGUAAUAGAUAAAAUGAGGCUGAGAGUAGCCCCCUGACACAUUAUUUAAAGAAGAUAGUGAGAAUACAAGAUACACUGGUUUAUUUGCCCUGUGAAAUAAAUCAAUGAGAUUUAGUCCUCCCCAAAGGGGUUAUUGCCCAGUUCCCAGAUGUUAACUAAUACUCCCUCUGUCCCAAAAUAAAUGUCUCAACUUUAGUACAACUUUAUACUAAAGUUAGUACAAAGUUGAGACCCUUAUUUUGGGACGGAGGGAGUAUAUUGUUAAAGUUUCAUGUGUUUGCAGAAUAAUGAGUUAAAAAGUCUACAUGUUUCCUGUAUCUUCAUUACAAAUAUUAGCAGCAUAAUGAGUUGACGCUUUAUUGUAUGCAGCGAAUUUCAAAUUGAUACAAUUUCAGCAUUUUGGGACAGAUAAAUUAUACUCCCUCCGUCCCAUAAUAUAAGAGCGUUUUUGACACUAGUCUAGUGUCAAAAACGCUCUUAUAUUAUGGGAUGGAGGGAGUAUUAUUUAAAAUGAACUAUAAUUCUGUCUUAUCUGAAAUUAUUGCCUCUGAAGUGAGGAAAGUACAGAGCAUUAUGCUUCUCUGAGAUGGUAACAAAUGUUUCAUGCAGCAGCUUGACUUUUGUGUUUUCUGUUGUACAGAUCAAGCUAUUUGAUCUCCGUCUCAUUCAGAAGGGGGCUAUACAGUCUUAUGCAGGGCAUGUGAAUUCACACAAUAAUUUACCACUUGUUAUUGAUCCAGCUGAAACCCUACUUAUGUCAGGUAAAUUUAUUAUUGGUUCUAGACAUCAUUGUGGCUGUUUUUGUCAUAUACUGCUAUGAAGAAUGUCUUUUGAGGUUACCCAUUCAAACUGAACGUGGUUUUUUGGAUCGAUAAGAACAUUUCGAUGUAUUAUUUGCAUUUUCACUCGAGUACCUCACUUCAUACUCCAGCUCGUGAGCAUUAGACUUAAAUUUGAUUAAUGUCAGCAGCUAUGCUUGUUCAUGCAGUGUGCCAGUAACAGAUGCAUUGGUAUUAAAAAGAUACCCACCUAUAGUUUUUCUGUAUGAUAUACAAGUGUAAGAGGGCUUUGGUAUUCCUGGAAUUAUUGCAACAUCGAAUCAUGAGUUUGCGAAAGCUAAAUUUCGAGAAAACUAUUCUGUUACUAGCUGGUCCAUAUUUACUUUAUUAGGCUAUACAGGACAAUGAACAACAUAGUGACAUCUUUAUGAACGUGCAUGGCUAGAACAUUCCUGGCAUCAAAUUGCCAUUUUCAGCAAAUCCUUAUUCUUGGCAGGUGGGGAGGACUGUACCGUCCGUAUUUGGAGCAUCAAAACAGGCGAGCAAAUAUUUGCGAAGAGCGUGGCUGACACUCUCUUCACUGCACUUUGCUGGCCAGAAAGCAACCUUGACUUGGAUGGUUCUUCUUCGCUGUUUGAUCUAAACCACAGUUGGGGGGCUUGGAUGGGAUCACGUGAUGGCCUGUUCUACAUGCAUGGUACUUAAACUGGCUGUGCACUGAUACACUCUGGAGCGGACGGAUGCAAUUGCUGCUUUUUCUUCAGGAAGACGCAUCGAAGACGAUUGAUCCUGUUGUUUCACCGAAAAGUCUGCUCAAGCUGGUGUCGCUGGAGAGAUCUCAGCCGUCAUAGUUGAUCCUGUUGGUUCUGGAAGCGAGUGUUAGUUAUAUGGGAUCUGCUCCUCAUAGAGUAAUAGUGAUGAUGAUCAUGUUGUUUCUCUUAGUGAUAGGUAAGUGACCUGUCUAGUUUGGUAUCAGAGUUACCUUAGGAAAGCAGACCAUAUUGUAUCAUAUGCUUUUUUAGCAUGGCUAGUUAGUCAGCAAUGUGAUAUUUUCUUCAAUGUUAGCAAACAAACAUAUUUCUGAACUCUGUUUGUAUUCUAGCAUCAUAUAUUCAUAUUAGCAAACACUGCUUCGGAGGUAUUGGUACACCAUUCCAGAUCUUUUUUAUCACACAAAACUGGUGCAACAUUUUAUUCAGCUCUUCCUAUUUGCUACUAGCUACACCUGAGCAUGUUCAGGGUAUGUUGCUUGGUACUGUCUACAUUUACAGCACUUCAUCUCUCAAACUUCCAGUUCCAUGUUCUAGUUAAACCUAACGAGCUUUAUAAAUUCUCAACAGAUAAGGUCGCCCUCUUUGCCGUUUGUCGCCAGUUUCAAUCUUUCCCACUUUGUUCGGAGCGUGAUGAACAGGAGAACGGUGUUCUGGCAAAGGAGACCGCAUAUCUGACCCAUCCACAACCCCUGAAACAGGUAAUUGCACAUGAUCAGUGAGGAGAACAGUAGUUUGUACUUUGUAGCGGUGGUUUGUGCACAACAAACAUGCCCGAUGCUGAAUUUCAGAAAGACAUGUCUGUACCUUAGUAUGAAAGCCAAGCUUGAAUCCAAGUAGGAGAGACAAUGGCAAGCCUAUUAUGUAGAAGGCCACCAAGUUGGUCCAUGCUACCAGGUGCUGCCAACCACAGCCUCUUGAAACCCCUACAAGUUAAUCCACAGGUUACUGCCAAAUGGCCUUCACCUGAAACAAUAAGGUUGAAACACAUUUAGAGAGAUCCAUUGAACUAACCUGACAGGACUCCCUGCGUGGAGUCCAGCACCACUGACCCAAUGAGAAAUGGAGUCAUCGAAGCAAAUGCACUUAUCACUGCCUCACUCUUGCUGAACAGCCCGGCCCACAAAUUAUGGCCAAGACCUAGGAGCAGAAGAAAUGUCACUCCCAGGAGUAGGGAGAGCGCGAGAGUCACCUUGAGUGCCUUCUUUGCCUUGUCAAUGUUACCUGCUCCCAGCUCAUUCGAUACCCUUGUGCUGUUGAAAUGAAACAGCACUUUUUAAGUCAGCAUUGUCAACUUAAUCUUAAAGGAUAUAUUUUUUCCUUUCGUUGCAAAAUCCUCAAGGGUUGAUGACAUGGGUGUCAUCAGUUAUCGUAGCAGUAUUACCUGAUGGCAGCAGCGAACCCGUAGGUGAUCAUGUAUGAAAUUGAUUCCGUGUUUGCACUGUCAGGUUGCAUCGCACUGAUGUUAGCAUUUUAUGGACACAUAAACAUGAUCUUCAGUACUCAAUAUGAAGGGAGAGAAAGAUAGUUACCACAUCGCAAUGAUAGAAGUGCUCAUUUGAGAAUCUGGCAUCAGCCCAGCAAGCAACACCAAUAUCUCAAACGCCCAGUACUCAAAGCUGCCAUUUGUAGGUAACCAUCAUAUAUUCUCAGUAUGGGAUAUAUUAAGAGGCGCUCAACGAAUGGAUCUGGGAUUGUCGUAAGUGUACUAACCACACCAUCAUUGCAGAGGGAACGGCUAACUUGAGGCCGGGCAGCACGUACUGAAACGCUUCUGUUGAAAAUCCCCCCCAGGUCUCCUUGAAUCUCGUUGACAACAUCACAUAGGAUGCCAGCAUAAUGAAAGAUAGCCACAGAGACAGCGAAGUUGACAUGGCUGGGCCUGCGAAGCCGAGCCCCAGGUAGUGCACGGAGGCAUGGGUAAUUCCGACAUGGAACACCAGUGGCAGGAGCGAGAACGCCACCAGUGGCAUCACCACGGACUGUGUCUGCAGGAACCUGAGGAUACACUGGAUGAAGCCAAAGGCAAACUGUGCCGGGAUUGUGUAUCGCAGGAACACCGCUGCCAUUCUUGAGACCUCGGGGUCUUGGUGCAAGAAAAUGAGGAGUGGCUCGGUGUAGAGCCACAGGAGCGAGACGAGGACUGAAAAGAGAGCCGAGGUGAUGAUGGAUGCCUGGAGGUACACGCCGAGCAUGCGGUACACCUUUGCGCCAUAGCCUUGGCCGCAAAGCGUCUCCAGGGACCCGCUUAACCCAGUCUGCAUGGGAACAAGGUAACGUUAGUCAGUUCAUCAGUAUGCGCUGUUCCUCUUGGUUUCUCUACUAAAAUCUGCAUUGCCGUAAGGUUUUGUGGUAAACUGAAGGGAUAGAAACAUCAAACUGUUGCAAAGUUGAAAAUUCUCAAUAGGAACAACCAGUCUAACCAGGGCUGAAGAAAUUACAGCAACAUACUGCACUGCUACCAUAGUAGUACUAGCACAGUUCAGGAUUUGACUUCCUCAGUUGUCUCAACCUGUGACCAUGUGCUGUGUUUAUUCUGAAGCCUGACAUAUGCUUAAUUCCUGGGAUCCGGAUAAAGGGCAUGUGCAAAUCUGUCUACAUUGGCGAUGAAAGAUCCAUGAUAAUCUUACAACAAUGGUCCUAUCCUGACAAACUUUUGCAUAUUAUAACGAAGUAUACUUGAGAGUUGACUCUAUGCUUCACAGCCAACACUAUCUUUGCAACCACUACACACUAGUACUGACAUAUAUAUAGCCAUGAAUAUAGGAGUUGACCAGUCUUAUACUACCUACCGGCUAGACAACUGAUCAUAGCUCAUGUACUGAAAUGACACAGCAUGGCAUUGCUUUCAUCUUAAGAGAAAAAAGAGAUCCUAUGCAUGAAUUUCUGCUGCACUUCCAUGUUUUCUAAUGUUGAAUUUGAAGCCAAAUGGCAUGUUGAAGUUUUGUCUGUGUAUUCCUUGCAUCCAUUUAAAAUUAGCAAGUAGGUUAGGCCAUAGUCAGGCGAAUGCGCAAGGACUUUUCUUUUUUCAGAAUAAAUGUGUAAGGACUAAAGCGGCAGCUUUUAGGUGCCAGCAUAAUAGGGGUUCUAGAAUUUGUCUGGUCCAAGUCCUCUGUAUCCUUGUCUAGACAAGUCCUCUCUUUGAGACAUUCUUCUCAAAAAGAAGUAUCAAUGCUGGAUGUUCAUAUUGCCCAGUGACUGCAACAUAACCCAACACUGAAAGAAUAUCAUAUCAGUUUAUUAAUGCAUUCAUUUAUUUAUCCUUUAAGAAAGCAUAUUCACAAGCUAAUCCUGUGCAAUGGCUAUGAUUCCGUAUACACCACAGCUCGUGAAAAAGCCUCAAGUAAACGUUCCAAUCCAAGAUUGAGAAGCCAUUUGCGUCAUUUACACCAUAAUUAAUAUAUUUAACAAAGCUUAGAUAACCACUACAGACCUAUAUAGUACAGUACAUGUCAAGGACCUAACCAAAUAUGCUUUAGGAUAUUAACUAAUUGUUCAUUUAUUUAUUUAUUUAUUUAUGGUAACUCUGGUCUGAGUAAUUAAUCUGCAGACAGAUCAAAGUGAGUAAUUGUUAUUCUAGUCUUGGAGACAGAUCUAAGUGAUAGAAUGAAUGAUGGAGCAUAUGUCUAUGACGGGCAACUUAGUUGAGCAAUGGAGACUAUGGAGUGGUGGCAGUAAAAAUUGAAGAUGAUGGCAAAGGAGACCAAAGAAAAGAUGGUAGGUAAAUACCAAGCUCAUAUGAGCUCGAGCUGAGAACAGCACAUUCGGUAGGUAAACAUUGUUUUCGAUGCAUACAGGGAGGGACGGCUAAAGAGACAGACGAAGACGUUUUUACAGAGCAUCUCCGGGCAGGUCGCCGGAGAUGAGGAGGAGGAGAAGCCUCCUUCCCCUAGAAUCAGAUCAAAUCAAUGGAGAAGAAGGAUGAGGCAAAAUAUAUGAUAGACUUGGUACCAUGAGCGCGAUGCCUGUGACGGUGGCCCACGAGUUGCCGAGCGUGGCGCCGGCGAGCUCGAGGUCCCCGAUGCGGCCGGCGUACAUGACGGAGACGAGCGGGAUGGCGUAGAAGGCCAUGCUGGUGGCCACCAUGGGCGCCGCGAAGGCCACCUGCCCCGCCGCCUCCUCCGCAUCCCACAGGCACCGCCACCACCUCCUUCUCCCUGCUGCUGCUGCCGCCUCUCCGUCGCCAUUAUCGCUUCUCCUCGCCUUGAGCUUCCCAUCCAGCAACGGAGCAGCUGCCCCUUCUUCGCCCAUUCCCUCUCUCUGCAGGCUUCUUACUUGUGCUCUGCGAUGUGUGUGUACGGAGCAGCAGGUCAAGCAAGCGCAGGAAGGACAGGGCACGUUGGUGUUGGUAUAUAAAAGGGUGGCAGUGGCAGGGGCGAUGAUGGAAACACGAACCAGUCCAGCUACUUGUUCUUUUUUAACAGGAGCGCAGCUACUUACUUUCAGUGGUAGAACUAGUAGUACUAUAGCACUAGUCUAUGUUUGCCUCGAGAAAAGAAGACCCACGUUGGUUAACUUUCUCUUUCGAGAUUUGUAACAUGGCCAUCGAUUUUACUUAUGAGGAAAAUGCUCAAGCGGCCCGUGUCCACUUGAACCUUUCUUUCCGGGUGAUGUGAACCUAAUUUUCAGAACUUGCAACUUGUUUUGGCUCUCAAAAAUUGGUUCUAUUAUUCAAAAUCAGGAAUUCGAUUCUAGAAACAUGACUGUUUGGCUGCCGCAAAAUUAGAAUCAUCAAUAUGGAACGCAAUUCCAACGAGUUAGGACGUCACCAAACGUGCAAACCUAUGACAUUUUGUCCUGCUCUGUGAUUGGUUUUGCACUUUUUUUUCUUCUCUUUUUUUGAAAAGUUGGUUGAAAACCCUCAGCCUCUGCAUCAUUGUGAUGUACGCUGUUGGAUAAACAGCAACUGAACCUUUACUGAGAGCCAAAGGCCAGUACAUAUACAGGUGUGGCAAAAUGCAGAAAAGCCCCUUAUAUGAUGGGGAUGUAUACAAUGAACUAUACACAUCUAACACCCCCCCUCAAACUCAUGGUGGAUCAACAACACCGAGUUUGGAGAGGAAAAAUCCAUGCUGCGCUCGAGUCUGUGCCUUCGUGAAGAAGUCAGCCAACUAUAACUUAGAGGGCACAUAGUGAAGAGCGAGAGUCUGAUCCUGCACAGCAGCACGCACAAAGUGGGCAUCCACACCGAUAUGCUUGGUGAGCUCAUGCUUCACCGGGUCACGCGCAAUACUGAUAGCACCAGUACUGUCGGACAUGAGAGGAGUUGAGGUAGUAGCAGACACACCAAAGUCCUCAAGUAACCACCGUAACCAGAUCACCUCAGCCGUCAACAUAGCCAUAGCUCGCAACUCAGCCUCUGUACUCGAGCGAGAAACUGCAGUCUGCUUCUUUGUCUUCCAGGCAAUAAGAGAGCCACCAAGAAAGACACAGUAAGCAGACAGCGAGUGUCGAUCGGAGGGAUCACUAGCCCAGGUAGCAUCAGAGUAGGCCUGGAGCUCAAGAGAGCUGGAGCGGGGAAAGAAAAGGCGCUGAGAGAUCGUGCCACGAAGAUAUCGUAGAACACGGAGAAGAUGACUAUAGUGGACAGAGGUGGGGGCUGAAACGAACUGACUCAGAAUGUGGACAUGAUAGGAGAUGUCAGGACGUGUAACAACAAGAUAGACAAGACUGCCAACAAGGUGACGAUAGCGAGUGGGAUUAGGGAGAGGGUCACCAUCAGAGGCACGAAGCUGAACGUUGAGCUCCAUGGGAGUCACAAAUGUGCGCUCAUCACCGAGAGCAGCACGAGCAAGAAGGUCCUGAAUAUAUUUUUCUUGGGAGAUGUAGAAGCCAUCAGAGGUCGAGGAGAUCUCAAUUCCAAGAAAAUAACGAAGGGGACCAAGAUCAGUCAUGAGAAACUGAUCGUGAAGGCGAGCCUUAACAAAGGCAAUGUAAUCAGAGUCGUCACCAGUGAUGAUCAUGUCAUCAACAUAGAGAAGGAGAAGAGUCCGACCAUGAGGAGACGUGUGAACAAACAACGCGGGAUCAUGAUCACUGGGCGAGAAACCAGCCGUGGUCACCACAGAUGCGAAGCGCUCAAACCAGGCGCGAGGGGCCUAUUUGAGACCAUAUAGGGAGCGGCGAAGUCUACAGACCAUACCAUCAGGAGCAUAGUACCCCGGUGGUGGUUGCAUAUAAACCUCCUCACGCAACUCGCCAUUGAGAAAAGCGUUCUGAACAUCAAGUUGAGAGAUAGGCCACUGACGAACAGAAGCCACAGCAAGAAGAGUGCGGACAGUGGUCAUGUGGGCCACAGGAGCGAAUGUCUCAUCAUAAUCGCGCCCCUGCUCCUGCUGAAAACCACGGGCCACAAGACGAGCUUUGUAGCACUCAAGAGAACCAUCGGAGCGAGUCUUAAGCUUGUAAACCCACUUGCAGGUGAUGAGACGGACACCGGAAGGAAGAGGAACCAGAUCCCAUGUGCCAGAGCGCUCAAGGGCAGCGAGCUCUUCGGCCAUCGCAAGUUGCCAUUCAGGCUGAGUCAUGGCAGUGCGAUAGGAAGUGGGCUCAGUCAUAACAGAGAGACCGUACUGAUCAGGGGAGUAGCGAUCAGGUGGGGGGCGAGGCCGAGCAUGGAGGUUGUGAACCGGGGGAGGCGUGAGAGGAGGUGCACUAGAGGUGGAAGGCUUGUCAGAGGAGACAUCCUCAGUACGAGAUCGACGAGUAUAGUGGAGAGGAAACGGUGAGAGAGGGCGACAGACUAGAGAGGAGGGAGGGGGGAGGUGGAGGAGGAGGAUGGAGAAGACGGGGUCGGUGGUGAAGGAGAAGGAAUGAGAGGUGCCGGAGGAAGAGGUGACACAUGAGGCACAUAGCAGGGAGUAUCGGGAAGGAGAAGGAAAGAAAGGUCGUCCACAGAGAAACUCGAGGAAGAAGAACGUGGGUAGUAAGAACGGGACUCGUCAAAAGUCACACACGCGAGAUGCGUAAGCGACGACCCACAGGAUCCCAACAUCGAUAGCCCUUGUGCUCAUCACUGUAGCCAAGGAAAACACACUCAACCGACUGAGCAGUCAGUUUGGUGCAUUCUCGGGGGGCAAGAAGAACAUAGCAGACGCAACCAAACAUAUGAAGAGCUGAGUAGUCAGGGGAGCGACCAGAGAGACACUCCAUAGGAAUGCCACCCUGCAGAGCAGUCGAUGGCUGAAUGUUGAUGAGAUAUGUGGAUGCGGAAACAGCCUCAGCCCAGAAAUGGGGUGGAAGGGAAGCAACAAUCAUCAGCGCACGAGCCGUCUCAAACAAAUGACGAUGCUUGCGCUCGGCAACGCCAUUCUGAGCAUGAGCACCAGGACAAGAGAACUGGGCAAGAGUACCCUAUUCCGUGAGAAAACCACGCAACAGCUGAGAGAUAUACUCUCCAGCGGAGUUAGCACGAAAUGUACGAAUGGGCGUGGCAAACUGGGUGUGAACCAUGGCAGCAAAACAUUUAUAUAUAGGAAGAACCUCGCUAUGAGAUUUCAUGAAGUAGAGCCAAGUGUAGCGAGAGAAAUCAUCAAUAAACAAGACAUAGUAGCGAUGACCACCUUUCGAAUCAAAGGGAGCAGGACCCCAGACAUCAGAAUGAACUAAGUCAAAAGGACACUGAGAUACAGACUCACUAGUAGGAUAAGGUAACUGAGUUUGUUUGCCAAGUCUGCAACCAUUACAAUGUAAGGAGACAUCUCCAGAUACAUACCCUAAGAGGCCCUGACGAACUAAGGAAGAUAAGUGAGAGCCACAGAUGUAACCAAGGCAAUGAUGCCACUGCUAGAAGGACACGGGCGAAGAGGCAGCAAGAGCAUGAGAGCUGGCAGAAGUGGUGGCAGCGGAAGGAACACAAAACCAGUCAACCUCCCAAAGACCCUCUGACACACGGCGUCGGGGGCCAGCACCAACCAAAGCCUUGGUGCGGUGAUCCUGAAUGGAGCAAGAGUCGGUAUCAAGAAUGACACGACAACCAGAAUCAGUAAGUUGGGCAGUAGAAAAAAGAUUCAUGGUAAGGCAAGAAACAUGUGAAACACUUGGAACAGAAAAAGAUGAAGUGGAAAGAAUACCACAACUAGCAACAGGAAGAGAUGUGCCAUCGGUAGUAAGAACAUUAACAGGCGAAUCAAGAGGUCGGAGAGAAGACAAUGCGGAAGAAUCAGAAGACAUAUGAAAGGAGGCUCCAGAAUCCAGAACCCACGAAGAUGUACCUGACUGUGUAGAUGCCUUUGAUGGUGAGUAAGAGGAUGCAGUCACAGCAACAGCAGAGCCAGUCGACGAGGAGCCUGAGGAGGCAAGAAGAUGCUUCAGGCGAACAUUGUCCUGGUCAGUGAGUGACGGAGUCGAGGAAGACAUAGGAGGCCCGCUGGAGGAGGAGCGCCUCUGGUCUCGCUUCUUCUCGCGACAAUCAGACUCUGGGUGACCUGGCCGGGAGCAGUAACAACAGACGGUGUCACGGCGCGACGUGCCCUUCUCAGCAUAAGGAGGACGGCUCACCCCCCCCCUCGAGGAGUCGGUAGGAGCGGCGAAGCAGUGAGGCGAGCAGACGACACAGGAGCCCAGGCAGCCAAUACUGAUGGAACCAGAAGCAACCCAGCAGAGCGAAGGCGGGUCUCCUCGGCACGAAGCUCAUCAAGUAUCUCUGAGAUAGGAACACGACCACGAGCAAGCAAGUGAGCACGGCGAGGCUCAAACUCAGAGCGGAGAUGAGAUAAGUACUCAUGGACCCUCUGAAACUCCAAGUCAGACCUCGUAGUCUGGCAACAACGGCAAGUACCACAAACAACUGUCCGCAGGGAGUCAAGCUGACGCCAGAUGGCAGAGCACUGUGAGUAGAAUUCAUCAACAGACGAGUCACCCUGCUGAAGAGCAUGCUCCUGACGCACUACAGAGAGGUAUAGGGCAUCACCAGAGGGCUGAUAGUGCUGACAAAGGUAGGACCACAUCGCUGCAACAAUGCCGAGGCCCAUGAACUCUGAGGCAAACUGAGGGAGGACACUCGCAGUGAGAACAGCAGCAGCACGAGCAUCAUCAUUGCACCACUGAGUGUAAGCAGAUAGAUCAUCUCGGUAGACAGAAAGAGCAUCAGAAUAUGCGGAUACCUGCUGAUCAUAUGCAUCAACUGCUGUGUCAUCCAGAGCCUUGGCUGCAUCCCUGUCAGCCUGAGAAGCCUCAGCCGCAAGCACCGGGGGCACUAGGGGAACAGGAGCAACCGGAGCAACAGGGCAGGGCGGACAGGGGACCUCGCCAGAGAGAACGCCCCACAGCAGAAGACCGCGCAUGUGAAUACGCAUGAAGCCCGCAAACUCGGCAUAGUUGGUGCCAUCGAAUAUCACCGAGCACCGGGGAACAACGACAUAGCCCGAAGGGGACAUGAGGUAGCCACUCGGCGCUGCUUUUUUUUUGAAGUCAACCGAUCUGGAUCGGGAUCGAGCAGAAGGACGCUCUCAGGGUGCUCGCUCGAGACAGGGGAAUCGGAACGAGCAGAGGCCCGUGCAGCGGCUCGAGCAGAGGGGAGGAACCGAGCGAGAGGAGCCCCAGUCGCUGGAGCCGAGGGCAGCCUGGCACCUCACCGGCCGGCAGGGCACGACAGAGGCAGCCCCAACAGCGCAGGCUGGGAGGAGCACUGGCGGCGGCGGGGCGCUUCAGGGAGGCAUAGGCCAGGAGGCGGCGGGGCGCAGGCUGGGAGGAGCACCGGCGGCGGUCGGGCGCUAUAGUGAGGCAGCAGCAGCGGCCGCGGGCGGAGCAGCCUGUGAGCGGAGGCAGCGCGGGACGGCGCCUACGGGCGGCUGCAUGCACGGGCAUGAAGCUGGUGGCCGUAUCCGCGGCGAGAAGAGCCGCGAGAAGAGCCGGGAUGACCGGAUCCGCAGCGAGGAGACCUGGCAGUGGAUGUAUCGGGGGAGGAGCUAGCACGGAGUUGCAGCAUGCGGGAGAGAGGGGAACCUAACAUCUGAUACCAUGUUGGAUAAACAGCAACUGAACCUUUACCGAGGGCCAAAGGCCAAUACAUAUACAGGUGUGGCAAAGUGCAGAAAAGCCCCUUAUAUGAUGGGGAUGUACACAAUGAACUAUACACAUCUAACACACGCAACCAUCUUUAUUAAAGUAUAAUGAAUAGUGUAGGGUUAGAAAGACAUGAUUUUGCGCUUUUUUUUGGUGUAGCUUGAACCAUAACGUAUUUCCUCAUGAAAAUUUAAGGGGAUGUAGUACACAUCUCUAGGUUCAUGUGUAAUUUUUUCAGUUUUUUUGAAACUUUAAGCAAAAACUGUUUUUGUAAAAAAAAAUUCAAAAAUCCGAGCUUCAUGGAGCUCGGGAUCCAAAAGCAAUUUCCCGACGACCAUGUACUAUACAUUUAGAAUUGCAGUGAAUUCACAUGGACCUAAGGUUUUAUGUUGAUUUUGUUAAACACAUCUUAUGUCACGUUACUUGAGAUGUCUUGUACCGCACCAGGUGCGUCUUGUACCGCACCAGGUGCACCUAGAGAUAGAGAUAGACUAGGGUAGUUCAAAUAUUCUCUCUUGUAAUCUACUCUAUCUUCUUAUCCCUUCUCCUCCAAGUCUCCUGUAAUAUCUCAACCAUCAUGUAUGCGCCUUCAGGGAUCUUGCGCCCCUGCAUAUAACAUGAAACACGUCCCCUCGCACCGAGGUAAGACGUUUCCGCAUCUCGCACAUGGUAAUCAGAGCCAUCCUUCUUCCCAUCUAGUUUCUCCCUGAUUCCAGUCGCACCAAAGAAACAUGUCUUCCUCCUCCUGCAUAUCUCACCUUAGCCUCAGUGGGCAGGUGAUCGAGAAACUCUCCCGCACGAAUUACGUGCUAUGGCGCACACAGAUCACACCACAACUUUGUGGCGCCGGUGUCUUCCAGUACGUUGACGGCACCCUACCAGAGCCGAACAAACUUCAAGCCGCCAAGGACAAGGACGGCAAGGACAUGUUUGUGCCCAACCCUCUCCACCCCAUCUGGGUUCGGGAGGACCAACAGGUGCUUGGCUUCCUGCUGAGCAACCUCUCCAAAGAGGUGCUCGUCACGGUAAUCACGGUCACCACGGCACAAGCGCUCUGGACGACGCUGGCAGGCAUGUACUCGUCGCAGUCGCUGAGCCGCGUCAAUAACAUCCAUACCUCGCUCAUCAACGCACAGAAGGGCAACCAGUCCGCCCCCGCCUACUUCGCCACCAUGCGCGGACUCGCGGAUGAACUCGCGGCGGCCGGCAAACCCAUCCAGGACGACGAGCUGAUCUCAUACAUCCUCCACGGGGUGGAUCAGGAGUACCAUCCCCUUGUCUCCACCCUCGACGCCCGUGUCAGCCCCGCCUCCCUCGACGAGAUCUUCUCGAUGCUCAGCAACUUCGACCAACGCAUGAUGUGUUGGAAAUAUGCCCUAGAGGCAAUAAUAAAUUGAUUAUUAUUAUAUUUCCUUGUUCAUGAUAAUCGUUUAUUAUCCAUGCUAGAAUUGUAUUGAUAGGAAACUCAGAUACAUGUGUGGAUACGUAGACAACACCAUGUCCCUAGUAAGCCUCUAGUUGACUAGCUCGUUGAUCAAUAGAUGGUUACGGUUUCCUGACCAUGGACAUUGGAUGUCGUUGAUAACGGGAUCACAUCAUUAGGAGAAUGAUGUGAUGGACAAGACCCAAUCCUAAGCCUAGCACAAGAUCAUGUAGUUCGUAUGCUAAAGCUUUUCUAAUGUCAAGUAUCAUUUCCUUAGACCAUGAGAUUGUGCAACUCCCGGAUACCGUAGGAGUGCUUUGGGUGUUCCAAACGUCACAACGUAACUGGGUGGCUAUAAAGGUACACUACGGGUAUCUCUGAAAGUGUCUGUUGGGUUGGCACGAAUCGAGAUUGGGAUUUGUCACUCCGUGUAAACGGAGAGGUAUCUCUGGGCCCACUCGGUAGGACAUCAUCAUAAUGUGCACAAUGUGACCAAGGGGUUGAUCACGGGAUGAUGUGUUACGGAACGAGUAAAGAGACUUGCCGGUAACGAGAUUGAACAAGGUAUCGGUAUACCGACGAUCGAAUCUCGGGCAAGUACCAUACCGCUAGACAAAGGGAAUUGUAUACGGGAUUGAUUGAGUCCUUGACAUCGUGGUUCAUCCGAUGAGAUCAUCGUGGAACAUGUGGGAGCCAACAUGGGUAUCCAGAUCCCGCUGUUGGUUAUUGACCGGAGAACAUCUCGGUCAUGUCUUCAUGUCUCCCGAACCCGUAGGGUCUACACACUUAAGGUUCGAUGACGCUAGGGUUAUAAAGGAAGUUUGUAUGUGGUUACCGAAUGUUGUUAGGAGUCCCGGAUGAGAUCCCGGACGUCACGAGGAGUUUCGGAAUGGUCCGGAGGUAAAGAUUUAUAUAUAGGAAGUCCUGUUUCGGCCAUCGGGACAAGUUUCGGGGUCAUCGGUAUUGUACCGGGACCACCGGAAGGGUCCCGGGGGCCCACCGGGUGGGGCCACCUGCCCCGGGGGGCCACAUGGGCUGUAGGGGGUGCGCCUUGGCCUACAUGGGCCAAGGGCACCAGCCCCUAGAGGCCCAUGCGCCAAGAUAUAGGAAAAAGGGGAGAGUCCUAAAGGGGGAAGGCACCUCCGAGGUGCCUUGGGGAGGAUGGACUCCUCCCCCCCUCUUAGCCGCACCCUUUCCUUGGAGGAAGGGGCAAGGCUGCGCCUUCCCCCUCUCCCCUGCCCCUAUAUAUAGUGGAGGGGAGGGAGGGCAUCCAUACCUGAGCCCUUGGCGCCUCCCUCCCUCCCGUGACACCUCCUCCUCUCCCGUAGGUGCUUGGCGAAGCCCUGCAGGAUUGCCACGCUCCUCCAUCACCACCACUCCGUUGUGCUGCUGCUGGAUGGAGUCUUCCUCAACCUCUCCCUCUCUCCUUGCUGGAUCAAGGCGUGGGAGACAUCGUCGAGCUGUACGUGUGUUGAACGCGGAGGUGCCGUCCGUUCGGCACUAGGAUCAUCGGUGAUCUGAAUCACGACGAGUACGACUCCAUCAACCCCGUUCACUUGAACGCUUCCGCUUAGCGAUCUACAAGGGUAUGUAGAUGCACUCACCUUUCUACUCGUUGCUGGUCUCUCCAUAGAUAGAUCUUGGUGUUACGUAGGAAAAUUUUUGAAUUUCUGCUACGUUCCCCAACAGUGGCAUCAUGAGCUAGGUCUAUUGCGUAGAUUCUUUGCACGAGUAGAACACAAAGUAGUUGUGGGCGUCGAUAUUGUUCAAUAUGCUUGCCGUUACUAGUCUUAUCUUGAUUCGGCGGCAUCGUGGGAUGAAGCGGCCCGGACCAACCUUACACGUACGCUUACGUGAGACCGGUUCCACCGACAAACAUGCACUAGUUGCAUAAGGUGGCUGGCGGGUGUCUGUCUCUCCCACUUUAUAUCACGUUGUGGUUCAUGCGUAGGUAAGAAACGUUCUUGCUAGAAACCCAUAGCAGCCACGUAAAACAUGCAAACAACAAUUAGAGGACGUCUAACUUGUUUUUGCAGGGUAUGCUUUGUGAUGUGAUAUGGCCAAGAAGAAUGUGAUGAAUGAUAUGUGAUGUAUGAGAUUGAUCAUGUUCUUGUAAUAGGAUUCACGACUUGCAUGUCGAUGAGUAUGACAACCGGCAGGAGCCAUAGGAGUUGUCUUUAUUUUUUGUAUGACCUGUGUGUCAUUGAAGAACGCCAUGUAACUUACUUUACUUUAUUGCUAAACGCGUUAGCCAUAGAAGUAGAAGUAGUCGUUGGCGUGACAACUUCAUGAAGACACGAUGAUGGAGAUCAUGAUGAUGGAGAUCAUGGUGUCAUGCCGGUGACGAUGAUGAUCAUGGAGCCCCGAAGAUGGAGAUCAAAAGGAGCAAAGUGAUGAUGGCCAUAUCAUGUCACUAUUUGAUUGCAUGUGAUGUUUAUCAUGUUUAUACAUCUUAUUUGCUUAGAACGAUGGUAGUAAAUAAGAUGAUCCCUUACAACAAUUUCAAGAAGUGUUCUCCCCUAACUGUGCACCGUUGCGACAGUUCGCUGUUUCAAAACAUCACGUGAUGAUCGGGUGUUUUAUUCAGACGUUCAAAUACAACGGGUGUUGACGAGCCUAGCAUGUACAGACAUGGCCUCGGAACACACGCGAAACACUUAGGGUUAACUUGACGAGCCUAGCAUGUACAGACAUGGCCUCGGAACACGGAGACCGAAAGGUCGAACAUGAGUCGUAUAGAAGAUACGAUCAACAUGAAGAUGUUCACCGAUGAUGACUAGUCCGUCUCACGUGGUGAUCGGACACGGCCUAGUUUGACUCGGAUCAUGUAAUCACUUAGAUGACUAGAGGGAUGUCUAUCUGAGUGGGAGUUCAUAAGAUGAACUUGUUUAUCCUGAACAUAGUCAAAAAGGAUUUUGCAAAUUAUGUCGUAGCUCACGCUAUAGUUCUACUGUUUAGAUAUGUUCCUAGAGAAAAAUUAGUUGAAAGUUGAUAGUAGCAAUUAUGCGGACUAGGUCCGUAAACUGAGGAUUGUCCUCAUUGCUUCAUAGAAGGCUUAUGUCCUUAAUGCACCGCUCAGUGUGUUGAACCUCGAACGUUGUCUGUGGUUGUUGCGAACAUCUGACAUACACGUUUUGAUAACUACGUGAUAGUUCAGUUAAACGGUUUAGAGUUGAGGCACCAAAGACGUUUUUGAAACAUCGCGAAACAUAUGAGAUGUUUUGAGGGCUAAAAUUGGGAUUUCAGGCUCGUGCCCAUGUCAAGAGGUAUAAGACCUCCGAUGACUUUCUUAACCUGCAAACUAAGGAGAAAAGCUCAAUUGUUGAGCUUGUGCUCAGAUUGUCUGAGUACAACAAUCAUUUGAAUCGAGUGGGAGUUGAUCUUCCAGAUAAGACAGUGAUGGUUCUCCAAAGUCAUUGCCACCAAGCUGUUAGAGCUUCGUGAUGAACUAUAACAUAUCAGGGAUAGAUAUGGUGAUCCUUGAGGUACUCGCGAUGUUUGACACCGCGAAAGUAGAAAUCAAGAAGGAGCAUCAAUUGUUGAUGGUUGGUGAAACCACUAGUUUCAAGAAGGGCAAGGGCAAGAAGGGAUACUUCAUGAAACGGCAAAUCAGCUGCUGCUCUAGUGAAGAAACCCAAGGUAAAACCCAAACCCGAGACUAAGUGCUUCUGUAAUAAGGGGAACAACCACUAGAGCAGAAUUACCCUAGAUACUUGGUAGAUAAGAAGGCUGGCAAGGUCGAUAGAAGUAUAUUGGAUAUACAUUAUGUUAAUGUGUACUUUACUAGUACUCCUAGUAGCACCAGGGUAUUAGAUACCGGUUCGGUUGCUAAGUGUUAGUAACUCGAAANNNNNNNNNNCCACGUAAGUCAUAUCGGUAUAAAACGCAUGAAGAAGCUCCAUAUUGAUGGAUCUUUGGGCUCACUCGUUUUUGAAAAGUUUGAGACAUGCGAACCAUGUCUAUUGGUGUAUAUGCAUGAAGAAACUCCAUGCAAAUGGACCGUUUUGACUCACUUGAUUUUGAAUCACUUGGGACAUGCAAAUCAUACCACAUGGGCAAGAUGACUGAAAAGCCUCGAUUUCAGUAAGAUGGAAAAAGAAAGCAACUUGUUGGAAGUAACACAUUUUGAUGUGUGCAGUCCAAUGAGUGUUGAGGCAUGCAGUGAAUAUCGUUAUGUUCUUACUUCACAGAUGAUUCGAGUAGAUGUUGAGUAUAUUUACUUGAUGAAUCACGAGUCUGAAUUAUUGAAAGGUUCAAGUAAUUUCAGUGUGAAGUUGAAAGAUCGUCGUGACAAGAGGAUAAAAGAUCUAUGAUAUGAUCAUAGAGAUGAAUAUCUGAAUUACGAGUUUGGCACAGAAUUAAGACAUUGUGGAAAUUGUUUCACAACUAAUACAGCCUGGAACACCAUAGUGUGAUGGUGUGUCCGAACAUCAUAGUUGCACCCUAUUGGAUAUGGUGCGUACCAUGAUGUCUCUUAUCAAAUUACCACUACCGUUCAUGGGUUAGGCAUUAGAGACAACCACAUUCACUUUAAAAUAGGGCACCACAUAAUUCCGUUGAGAUGACACCGUAUGAAUUAUGGUUUAGAGAAACCUAAGUUGUCGUUUCUUAAAAGUUUGGGGCUGCGACGCUUAUAUGAAAAGGUUUCAGGUUGAUAAGCUUGAACCCAAAGCGGAUAAAAUGCAUCUUCAUAGGAAACCCAAAACAGUUGGGUAUACCUCCUAAUUCAGAUCCGAAAGCAAUAUGAAUUGUUUCUAGAAUCAGGUCCUUUCUCGAGGAAAGGUUUCUCACGAAAAGUUGAGUGGGAGGAUGGUGGAGACUUGAUGAGGUUAUUGAACCGUCACUUCAACAAGUGUGUAGCAGGGCACAGGAAGUUGUUCCUGUGGCACCUACACCAAUUGAAGAGGAAGCUUAUGAUAGUGAUCAUGAAGUUUCGGAUCAAGUCACUACCGAACCUCGUAGGGUGACAAGGAUACGUACUACUUCAGAGUGGUACAGUAAUCCUGUCUUGGAAGUCAUGUUGCUAGACAACAAUGAACCUACGAGCUAUGGAGAAGCGAUGGUGGGCCCGGAUUCCGAUAAAUGGCUCAAGGCCAUAAAACCCGAGAGAGGAUCCAUGUAUGAAAACAAAGUGUAGACUUUGGAAGAACUACUUGAUGGUCAUAAGGCUGUUAGGUACAUAUGGAUUUUGAAAGGAAGACAGACAAUGAUGGUAAGUGUCACCAUUGAGAAAGCUCGACUUGACGUUAAGAUGUUUUUCGACAAGUUCAAGGAGUUGACUACGAUGAGACUUUCUCACUCGUAGCGAUGCUAAGAGUCUGUUGGAAUUAUAUUAGCAAUUACUGCAUUAUUUAUGAAAUCUUGCAGAUAGGAUGUCAAAACAUUGUUUCCUCGACGAUUCUUGAGGAAAGGUUGUAUGUGAUACAACCGGAAGGUUUUGUCUAUCCUGAAAUAUGCUAAUAAGUAUGCAAAGCUCCAGCAAUCCUUCUGAGGACUGGAGUGAGCAUCUCGGAGUUGGAAUGUAUGCUUUGAUGAUGAUCAAAGAUUUUGGGUGUAUACAAAGUUUAUGAGAAACUUGUAUUUCCAAAGAAGUGAGUGGGAGCACUAUAGAAUUUCUGAUGAGUAUAUGUUGUUGACAUCAGAAAUGAUGUAGAAUUUCUAGAAAGCAUAUAGGGUUAUUUGAAAGGUGUUUUUCAAUGGAAAACCUAGAUUAAGCUACUUGAACAUUGAGCAUCAAGAUCUAUAAGGAUAGAUCAAAACGCUUAAUGGUACUUUCAAAUGAGCACAUACCUUGACAUGAUCUUGAAGGUAUUCAAGAUGGAUCAGUCAAAGAAGAAGUUCUUGCCUGAAUUGUAAGGUACGAAGUUAAGACUUAAAGCUCGACCACGGCAGAAUAGAGAGAAAGGACGAAGGUCGUCCCCUAUGCUUAAGACGUAGGUUCUUCAGUAUGCUAUGCUGUGUACCGCACCUGAAGUGUGCCUUGCCAUGAGUCAGUCAAGGGGUACAAGAGUGAUCCUAGAAUGGCUCACAGGACAGCGGUCAAAGUUAUCCUUAGUAACUAGUGGACUAAGGAAUUUUCUCGAUUAUGGAGGUGGUAAAAGAGUUCGUCGUAAAGGUUACGACGAUGCAAGCUUGACACCUAUCUGGAUAGCUCUGAGUAGAGAUACCGGAUACGUAUAAUGGAGCAACAAUUUAGAAUAGCUCCAAGUAGAACAAUUAUUUGGAAUAGCUCCAAAUAGAAUGUGGUAGCUGCAUCUAGGAGAUGACAUAGAGAUUUGUAAAGCACACACGGAUCUGAAAGGUUCAGACCUGUUGACUAUAACCUCUCUCACAAGCAACAUGAUCAAACCCAAGACUCUUUGGAUGUUGGUCACAUGGUGAUGUGACCCGUCAGUGUUAAUCACAUGGUGAUGUGAACUAGAUUAUUGACUCUAGUGCAAGUGGGAGACUGUUGGAAAUAUGCCCUAGAGGCAAUAAUAAAUUGAUUAUUAUUAUAUUUCCUUGUUCAUGAUAAUCGUUUAUUAUCCAUGCUAGAAUUGUAUUGAUAGGAAACUCAGAUACAUGUGUGGAUACGUAGACAACACCAUGUCCCUAGUAAGCCUCUAGUUGACUAGCUCGUUGAUCAAUAGAUGGUUACGGUUUCCUGACCAUGGACAUUGGAUGUCGUUGAUAACGGGAUCACAUCAUUAGGAGAAUGAUGUGAUGGACAAGACCCAAUCCUAAGCCUAGCACAAGAUCAUGUAGUUCGUAUGCUAAAGCUUUUCUAAUGUCAAGUAUCAUUUCCUUAGACCAUGAGAUUGUGCAACUCCCGGAUACCGUAGGAGUGCUUUGGGUGUGCCAAACGUCACAACGUAACUGGGUGGCUAUAAAGGUACACUACGGGUAUCUCUGAAAGUGUCUGUUGGGUUGGCACGAAUCGAGAUUGGGAUUUUGUCACUCCGUGUAAACGGAGAGGUAUCUCUGGGCCCACUCGGUAGGACAUCAUCAUAAUGUGCACAAUGUGACCAAGGGGUUGAUCACGGGAUGAUGUGUUACGGAACGAGUAAAGAGACUUGCCGGUAACGAGAUUGAACAAGGUAUCGGUAUACCGACGUGAUCUUGACGUGAGCACAUGCCUUGACGUGAUCUUGAAGGUGUUCAAGAUGGAUCAGUCAAAGAAGGAGUUCUUGCCUGAGUUGUAAGGUAUGAAGUUAAGACUUAAAGCUCGACCAUGGCAGAAUAGAGAGAAAGGAACGAAGGUCGUCCCCUAUGCUUAAGACAUAGGCUCUACAGUAUGCUAUGCUGUGUACCGCACCUGAAGUGUGCUUUACCAUGAGUCAGUCAAGGGGUACAAGAGUGAUCCAAGAAUGGAUCACAGGACAGCGGUCAAAGUUAUCCUUAGUAACUAGUGGACUAAGGAAUUUUCUCAAUUAUGGAGGUGGUAAAAGAGUUCGUCGUAAAGGGUUACGUCGAUGCAAGCUUAACACCUAUCCGGAUAGCUCUGAGUAGAGAUACCGGAUACGUAUAAUGGAGCAACAAUUUAGAAUAGCUCCAAGUAGAACAGUUAUUUGGAAUAGCUCCAAAUAGAACAUGGUAGCUGCAUCUAGGAGAUGACAUAGAGAUUUGUAAAGCACACACGGAUCUGAAAGGUUCAGACCCGUUGACUAUAACCUCUCUCAAGCAUAACAUGAUCAAACCCAGAACUCAUCGAGUGUUAAUCACAUGGUAAAUGUGAACUAGAUUAUUGACUCCAGUAAACUCUUUGGGUGUUAGUCACAUGGGGAUGUGACCUUGAGUGUUAAUCACAUAUCGAUGUGAACUAGAUUAUUGACUCUAGUGCAAGUGGGAGACUGUUGGAAAUAUGCCCUAGAGGCAAUAAUAAAUUGAUUAUUAUUAUAUUUCCUUGUUCAUGAUAAUCGUUUAUUAUCCAUGCUAGAAUUGUAUUGAUAGGAAACUCAGAUACAUGUGUGGAUACAUAGACAACACCAUGUCCCUAGUAAGCCUCUAGUUGACUAGCUCGUUAAUCAAUAGAUGGUUACGGUUUCCUGACCAUGGACAUUGGAUGUCGUUGAUAACGGGAUCACAUCAUUAGGAGAAUGAUGUGAUGGACAAGACACAAUCCUAAGCCUAGCACAAGAUCAUGUAGUUCGUAUGCUAAAGCUUUUCUAAUGUCAAGUAUCAUUUCCUUAGACCAUGAGAUUGUGCAACUCCCGGAUACCGUAGGAGUGCUUUGGGUGUGCCAAACGUCACAACGUAACUGGGUGGCUAUAAAGGUACACUACGGGUAUCUCUGAAAGUGUCUGUUGGGUUGGCACGAAUCGAGAUUGGGAUUUUGUCACUCCGUGUAAACGGAGAGGUAUCUCUGGGCCCACUCGGUAGGACAUCAUCAUAAUGUGCACAAUGUGACCAAGGGGUUGAUCACGUGAUGAUGUGUUACGGAACGAGUAAAGAGACUUGCCGGUAACGAGAUUGAACAAGGUAUCGGUAUACCGACGAUCGAAUCUCGGGCAAGUACCAUACCGCUAGACAAAGGGAAUUGUAUACGGGAUUGAUUGAGUCCUUGACAUCGUGGUUCAUCCGAUGAGAUCAUCGUGGAACAUGUGGGAGCCAACAUGGGUAUCCAGAUCCCGCUGUUGGUUAUUGACCGGAGAACAUCUCGGUCAUGACUACAUGUCUCCCGAACCCGUAGGGUCUACACACUUAAGGUUCGAUGACGCUAGGGUUAUAAAGGAAGUUUGUAUGUGGUUACCUAAUGUUGUUCGGAGUCCCGGAUGAGAUCCCGGACGUCACGAGGAGUUCCGGAAUGGUCCGGAGGUAAAGAUUUAUAUAUAGGAAGUCCUGUUUCGGCCAUCGGGACAAGUUUCGGGGUCAUCGGUAUUGUACCGGGACCACCGGAAGGGUCCCGGGGGCCCACCGGGUGGGGCCACCUGCCCCGGGGGGCCACAUGGGCUGUAGGGGGUGCGCCUUGGCCUACAUGGGCCAAGGGCACCAGCCCCUAGAGGCCCAUGCGCCAAGAUAUAGGAAAAAGGGGAGAGUCCUAAAGGGGGAAGGCACCUCCGAGGUGCCUUGGGGAGGAUGGACUCCUCCCCCCCUCUUAGCCGCACCCUUUCCUUGGAGGAAGGGGCAAGGCUGCGCCUUCCCCCUCUCCCCUGCCCCUAUAUAUAGUGGAGGGGAGGGAGGGCAUCCAUACCUGAGCCCUUGGCGCCUCCCUCCCUCCCGUGACACCUCCUCCUCUCCCGUAGGUGCUUGGCGAAGCCCUGCAGGAUUGCCACGCUCCUCCAUCACCACCACGCUGUUGUGCUGCUGCUGGAUGGAGUCUUCCUCAACCUCUCCCUCUCUCCUUGCUGGAUCAAGGCGUGGGAGACAUCGUCGAGCUGUACGUGUGUUGAACGCGGAGGUGCCGUCCGUUCGGCACUAGGAUCAUCGGUGAUCUGAAUCACGACGAGUACGACUCCAUCAACCCCGUUCACUUGAACGCUUCCGCUUAGCGAUCUACAAGGGUAUGUAGAUGCACUCACCUUUCUACUCGUUGCUGGUCUCUCCAUAGAUAGAUCUUGGUGUUACGUAGGAAAAUUUUUGAAUUUCUGCUACGUUCCCCAACAUGAUGCACUUCCAAAACUCCGGCGGCGGCGGCUUCAAGUCCUCAGACAAUCUUGCUACUCGUGACCGCGGCGGUGGCUCUCGCUAUCGUGGAUGUGGCAAGGGCAGGGCUGGUGGCGCUAGAACCAGCAGCAAUGGUGGAACCAGUGGUGGUGGCGCCCGUGGCAACCGGGGUCGCCGCGGCAGCGGCUCUGGCCGCACACAUCCGGACUCCCCAUGCUGUCAAAUUUGUGGCAAACCAGGCCACACCUCCAAGGACUGCUGGUACCAAUAUGAUGAAGAUGAGGACGACUCUCAAGAUGAUGACAAGAUCGCUGCGGUGGCAGAUGGAUCCUACGGCGUCGACACCAACUGGUACCUCGACAGUGGUGCCACCAACCAUCUCACUGGAGAGCUCGAGAAGGUGACCCUCCGUGAGAAGUACCACGACAAGGAUCAAAUCCACACUAACGAUGGUGCAGGUAUGAGCAUCAGCAACAUUGGUCAUUCUGUUAUACAUACCCCUCAUCGUAAGAUUCAUCUUAGAAUUUUUUUGCAUGUCCCUAGUGCCAACAAAAACCUCCUUUCCGUUCAUAGAAUUACUCUUGACAAUCAUGUCUUCAUUGAAUUUCAUCCUUUUUUUCUUCUUGAUCAAGGAUCUGGCCACGAGGAAAACUCUCUAUCGAGGUAGAUGUGUUCGAGGGCUCUACCCGUUCCUUCCGGAGUUUAGAAGACAAAAUAAACAAGCCUAUGGUGUUGUCAAGAUUUCUUCAACACGGUGGCACGAUCGUCUAGGACAUGCUUCAUUUUCUUUAGUUGAACGCUUGCUUAGGAAAAAUAAGCUCCCGUUUGUUGGUGAGCGUCAUGUUGAAACUAUUUGUGAUUCAUGCCAAAGAGCAAAAAGUCAUCAAUUGCCUUAUCCCGUCUCUACCAGUGUUUCUACUCAACCACUUCAAUUAAUUUUCUCAGAUGUUUGGGGUCCUGCCCCUAGCUCAGUUGGUAGACACACAUAUUACGUUAGUUUUAUUGAUGACUAUAGCAAGUUCUCUUGGAUCUAUCUUCUCAAGAAACGAUCCGAAGUUUUUCAAGUCUUUCAAAAUUUCCAAGCACUUGUCGAAUGGAAAUUUGAUCGCAAAAUUCUUGCGGUACAAUCUGAUUGGGGAGGGGAAUACGAAAAGUUGAAUUCCUUCUUCCAAACUCUUGGCAUAUCUCACCAUGUUUCCUGCCCUCACGCACACCAACAAAACGGCUCUGCCGAGCGCAAGCACCGUCACAUAGUUGAGGUGGGUCUUGCCCUACUAGCCGGUGCUUCUAUGCCCCUUAAGUUUUGGGAUGAAGCGUUUCUUACUGCUGUUCACAUUAUCAACAUGCUCCCUAGUCGUGUCAUAAACAAUGAAACUCCCAUGGAACGACUUCUUCACACCAAACCAGACUACAAGUCCCUUCGUGUUUUUGGGUGUGCGUGUUGGCCCAAUCUUCGUCCCCACAACAAUCGAAAACUAAUGUUUUGAUCAAAACAGUGUGUCUUCCUAGGGUAUAGCGCUCAACACAAGGGUGUAAAAUGCCUUGAUGUCUCCUCUGGUCGUGUAUACGUUUCCCGUGAUGUCAUUUUUGACGAGACCAAGUUUCCUUUUGCUCACCUUCACCCCAAUGCGGGUGCACUCCUCCGAAAAGAAAUUCUGCUUCUUCCUUCUCAUCUCACUAGCUUUGAUCACGGGGGUGAUAAUGGUAAUGAUCAACUAUUGACUGACCCUCUUAAUACCAUGUAUGAGCAUGAUGAUGAUGCAGGAGAAAGCAGGGAAAAAACGGCAGUCAAAACGAUGAAGAAAUACGCCCUACAGGGCCAUAUUUCAUGUGUCACGGCGAGGGGAGCAAAUCCCCCUCGGGAUCCGUCUCGUCAGCCGCAGCAUCGCCCUUGGGAUCGACGCACCCAGAUGUGGCAGGUGGAUCAGGCGGAUCCGCCUUAGACUCCGCGUCAGCUGAAUCAGGCGCGAUCCGGCGCGGGCCGACACGUGUUGAAAGCGACGUCGAAAUGGCCCCGCGGCGCACUGUGGCUGGGGGACACAUCUCCUCUGCUCCGCGCCAAUCAGGAGAUGCCAGGUGGCGUGAUGCCACUGGGUCCGUGGUGGCUCGGUUUCCGCCGCAGCCAGUCUGCUACAAGCGGCGGGACGUGCGCCAUCCGACAGCUGCGGGUUCGAUCGGCGCGGGAUCCCGCGCUGAUACACUACCCACGCCGUCCUGCGCCAAUGAUGAGGUGUGUCGGGCGCGACAGCUGGGUCAGGUGGAUCCACCUCGAAGUCUGGUGAUGGGAUUUUCUGUGCCGGCUGUGACGCCUGUAACUUCGCCCACGUCCUCAUCUGCCAUAGAGGAUCCGGCGCAGGUGGAUCCAGUCGCUGCAACUACUCCAGCUUCUGCCAUAGGAUCUUCUGCGGCAAAAACAGCAGCCACAACAUCUCCAUGUCGCACACGACUGCAAAAAGGGGUAAUGAAACCUGUAAACUACAAGCAUGUUACAAAAUAUGGCAUGGUAUGUUCUAUAGGUGAACCUGGUGAACCUCAUAAUCUUGAGGAAGCCUUGAGCGAUGAAAAGUGGAAAAAGGCAAUGAAUGAGGAAUUUGUGGCACUACAGAAGAAUAAAACAUGGCAUUUGGUUCCUCCUCAGCAAGGUAAAAAUCUCAUCGACUGCAAGUGGGUCUUUAGAAUUAAGAGAAAGUCAGAUGGAACCAUUGACCGGUACAAAGCAAGAUUAGUUGCAAAAGGGUUCAAACAAUGGCAUGGCAUAGACUAUGAGGACACAUUUAGUCCUGUUGUAAAAGCUGCUACUAUUCGCUUUGUUUUGUCCAUUGCUGUUUCCAGGGGCUGGAAUCUCAGGCAACUAGAUGUACAUAACGUGUUUCUCCAUGGUGUUCUGGAAGAGGAAGUGUACAUGAAGCAACCUCCUGGGUUUGUGAACAAAAAUGUUCCCUCUUACAUAUGCAAACUUGACAAAUCACUUUAUGGGCUGAAGCAAGCCCCACGAGCAUGGUAUUCAUGUCUCAGUCACAAAAUGCAACAACUUGGUUUUGUCCCUUCUAAGUCUGACACCUCACUAUUCAUUUACAACAAGCACAAUAUACACAUAUUUGUGCUCAUAUAUGUUGAUGAUAUAAUUGUCACAAGCUCAUCAGAUGAGGCUGUCACAGGGCUCUUGAAAGAUCUCAGCACAGAGUUUGCCCUCAAGGAUCUUGGAGAUUUGCAUUAUUUCCUAGGGAUUGAGGUGAAGAAACAUGAGGAUGGACUUCAUCUCUCUCAGGAGAAGUAUGCGGCAGAUCUAGUAAAGAAGGCAGGUCUACAAAGUUGUAAGCCCUCACCCACUCCUAUGUCAAGUUCAGAAAAGAUAUCUCUCACAGAAGGACAUCUUUUGAGUCCAGAUGAUAGCACAAAGUAUAGAAGUCUAGUGGGUGCACUUCAAUAUCUUACACUUACUAGACCUGAUAUUUCAUUUGCUGUCAACAAAGUCUGUCAGUUUCUUCAUGCACCCACUUCUGUUCACCUGACUGCUGCUAAACGUGUUGUUCGAUAUGUCAAGAAUACUGCCAAUAUUGGUCUGAAUUUCAGCAAGUCAUCCUCUACACUUGUAAGUGCUUUUUCAGACCCUGACUGGGCAGGUUGCUUGGAUGAUAGAAGGUCCACUGGUGGUUUUGCAAUUUUCUUUGGCCCAAACUUGAUAUCCUGGUGUGCAAGAAAACAAGCCACAGUUUCUAGGUCCAGUACAGAGGCAGAGUAUAAGGCACUGGCAAAUGCCACAGCUGAGGUCAUAUGGGUACAAUCCAUGUUAAGAGAACUUGGUAUCCGAAGUAGUCAAGUUCCCUGUUUAUGGUGUGAUAACUUGGGUGCCACAUACUUAUCUGCAAAUCCAGUCUUUCAUGCCAGAACAAAACAUAUUGAGAUAGACUUUCAUUUUGUGAGAGAAAUGGUUGCCAAGAAGCAACUUCAGAUUCAGUUUGUGCAUUCCAGAGAUCAAAUUGCGGAUGGAUUCACAAAACCGUUACCUACAAGAAGUUUUGGAGAGUUUAAACAUAAUCUCAACUUGAUGAAGUUGUGAUUAAGGGAGGGUGUUAAACACAUCUUAUGUCACGUUACUUGAGAUGUCUUGUACCGCACCAGAUGCACCUAGAGAUAGAGAUAGACUAGGGUAGUUCAAAUAUUCUCUCUUGUAAUCUACUCUAUCUUCUUAUCCCUUCUCCUCCAAGUCUCCUGUAAUAUCUCAACCAUCAUGUAUGCGCCUUCAGGGAUCUUGCGCCCCUGCAUAUAACAUGAAACACGUCCCCUCGCACCGAGGUAAGACGUUUCCGCAUCUCGCACAGAUUUAUCUCUAAGGAGUUGGUUUCGCUUCUUUUCUCAACCCGUGUUGUUUCCGAAUAUAAAAUAUUAGCUAGAUGAGGUUUCUUGCGCGAGUUAUAUAAAGAAUCAUGGUUGCAGUAAAAAUGAUAAAAGUCCAAAUCCUACUUACAAAUUUUGUAACGCACAACCUGGCCACAUAUCAUUGCAUUUUUAUUUUUUACUCCACUUAUUCACGGUAUAAAAUAUUUCCCCUGAUAGCGAGCUCAAUAGCUAUAUGUGACUGGUUCUUUUUGUCAAACUGGGGACUGGAACUUGUGAACAUCUAGAAGCAGGAAUAUUGUUCUUUGACUUACCCUGGGUACGGUACUACGAAGUCGGUACGAUUUCUCGUCGGUAACGGUAAGCAUUUGCAAGUUGGUGAAUGAGCAUGCAUGUACUGAGCUCCUCAGUCCUCUCCUACAAUUUUAGUUUAAUUUGCCACCACAGCAAUUGCCUUGGUUUUCCUUCCCACAGUACGAUACGAUGACGACGAUGAUUGCAACGCGUAUGGCUAUUAUUUUCGCCCAUGUUAUCUUCAACUAUCUGAAAUUCUUCACAAGACUUGUGUUAAUUAAUUGUCUUUGGAGUCGUUACUUGCCAGUCUUCUUUAGGACUGCCCUUAUAACAAACUAGUAAAUUGAUAGGACGAGCGUUAGCAGCCAGGUAUAUGCCAUUCAAUUCAGGGAGUGCAUAUUUUUCCAGCAAAGUCAGAAGCAGGGAGUAGGUGUUGCUGUAUUGUAUCAGAAAACCAAUUGAUUGAUAAGUACAGUAGCAUAUAGUAUCUCGUUCCGGUGCUGUGUGUCAGCAUGCGUGCAUGCAUACUGCCUUAGCUAAAGCUCGAACAACAAGGGCGAUCAAGCUCUUAACAAAGGGUGUUUAAUUAUUUAUUAUGGAUCAAUUAUUGGAGCCAACAAUUACAGUAUCAUCAUAUGUAGUAAAUGGACCGAACAUUUCCGCAUAUAAUUUCCCCCUAUACAUAUCAAGCAUAGCAACCAGUUUUCUUCACCAUAGUUACAGCUUACAGCUAAUUAAUCAACUUCAAUUGCUGGUAGAAAAGAGCAGCAUUAUAUUAUAUGUAGAUGCUUUGUUUUCUUCUCUCUUCACAGCCUCGAGUGGUUCUGGUAUUGCUCCAUGAAUGAGUCGUUGAACUUCUUGAAGCUCGACAUGAUCGCCGGCAUGUCCUCCUCCGCGGGCAGGAUCGUCGUCCUCAGAUGGAACACCCUGCAAAUUGUUCAACAUCAUAAAGUGCAAUCUUAUUACUGAGCAAGGACAAACGGUGAUUGGUUCUGCAGUAAAAAAAUAUGAUCAGGAUGAUGGUGAUGAACAGGAGGACUGGUUUCCUACAAUGGUUCAACCAAGAUGGGAAUGGGCUGACGUCACCCAGCCCGCCCAAAAUUUCCAGUCCAAUGGGUCUUUUGGGUCGGCUUCGUGUGGAAACAGGGCUAGCGGAGUCGAUCCUCAUCGGCCCAUCAGGAUGAGUGGGUUGACCCAGAUUUGGUUGCCCAGGGCUGUAGUAUGCCGUUAUGAUAGUAUAUACCUUUGCAAGGGUUGUUAGGCUUGUGCUUAUAGGAAAGUUUCAAACUAUUGACCCAAGAUUGCUUUUGUUCCAGAAAUGCAAAUAUGCUAAGUUGUGGACUUGUGGUGCUAACAUCUUCAUGGUAGUAAUAGAAACCAAGUCCAGGCUGGAGCAGGCCAGCCCAUUCCCAUUCUUAUUAGGUUCAUAAUUAUCAUAAGCCCAAAGUGCAGUGACAGUUUCCAUGUGUAUCACAACACUGAUGAUGGACCACUGUUCUCAUAUGCCCAGUUUAUCAUGCUUCACUUCUACUCCCUCCAUUCCUACAUAUAAGCCUUUUUAGAGAUUCCAAUACAGACUAUAUACGGAGCAAAAUGAGUGAAUCUACACUCUAAAAUGCGUCUAUAUACAUCCGUAUGUGGUCCAUAUUGAAAUCUAAGGUCUUAUAUUUAGAAACGGAGGGAGUAGCUAGGAUCUGUUACACCUUGUAACUAAAAAAAACAUUAAAACAAUAACUGAUGAUAUCAGAAAAGCACUUACCCUUCUUUCUGACCAAAACCUGAGCCUGGAACAGUGGAAAUUCCAGUGGCUUCCAGAAGCUUGAGGCAGUAGUAAACAUCAGGCGCUUUGCCAGCGCUUUUGGCUACAUCCAUAGCUCUUUGCGGCAGGCGUAUUUGCGGGAAAGAAUACAUAGCUCCUGCAAAAGCAUAAUAGCAUAUAACAUCAGAGAGAAGCUUCUUUGUCAUUGAAAAAUAUGCAUUUCGGCGUAUUUGCAGGAAAGAAUACAUAGCUCCUGCUACAGAUAAUAGCCAGACAAAAAUAUGCAGUUUAGAGCUUUUAUGUUACCUUCUGUGAAAUUGCAGACAACAUUUCGGCAACUAUUGAAACCGUCUGUCAUUAUUUGUGCCCUCCUCCUCAAAGAUUCAAGGAUAGACUUACUGCAACGUCGGUUUGAGGCAUGUUAGUACCAGCAAACACGCUAAUGUUCUUUCAUAUGGGAAGUGAGGCAUAUAGUAAGAAAUACGAAGGGCGGUGUUUUUAACCUUUCAGCAGAAUACUUCAGGUACGAGAUGUCUCCAGGUUUAGGAGGGUUCACCAUAAGCCCCAUCUGCAAAUUAAAGAAUCAGAACCAUUGUAUAACUUCUUAAAAUAAAGCAAGAUAACUGCAAAAAAAAAGUAUGCUGAUCACAACACAGAAUACAACAGGGAAAACGAGGUUCUGGUUCUCAAGAAUUUCAAUAGUAGUUCAUGGAUUGCCUCCUCCUACCCCCACCCCGCCCAAGCAAAAACAACAACAGAAUCAUUAAACUUUGUUUCACUUACAAAGAUCUGCCCAGGAACAUUUGGACUCAGCGCGAUUGAUGCAACCUUAUAAAUCUCGUCGACAGUCUGUCAGAACAAACAGAAGAGCAAUUUGAUUAUGGGUAUUUAAGAAAGUACUCCCUCUGUCCGGAAAUACUUGUCGUAGAAAUGGAUACAAAUGGAUGUAUCUAGAACUAAAAUACAUCUAGAUACAUCCAUUCCUUGGACAAGUAUUUCUGGAUGGAGGGAGUAUGUGUUACCAUCCAAGCUUUAGUGUAAACGUUUGUACAAUGGAAUAAAGUGCCAUCCUUAUUUAUGUGACUUGUCUUAUUUACACGUUCAAUCUCAACUUUCAAAGCUUUGAGGUUGGACACAGCUAGCAGCUGUAAAUGAACCUCGAGGGACUGGUGACAUACAUAUAACUCCAACAUGCAUUGUUCAUUACCCAACAGUUUUUGGGGUAUCCACAAAGUGCACUCCACUAAAAAAAGGAAUAUGUUGGUGCAACAAAUGUAAUUGCAACAACCUAGCUAGUACAGGAUGGGUUUAGUGGAUCAUAUUGCACAUUGUAGUAUAUACACAACUGUACUGCUAAGAAAGAACAACAGCAAGGCUAGGAAAUUCUGAUGCUGAUUUUUUUUUGCAAUAAUACAUGAAUUAUGUAAAAUCUUAUUUAUAUAUGUAUUUCGUUUUUUUAUAGCUGCAUCCUUCAUACAUAGUAGUAAGUAACUUGUUCAUAAUCUUUAAGAUAAAUCAUAAAUUCUGUAGUGGCAUGUUACCUUGGGAGGAAUAUUUGUCAUUUCAAAGUACCCACCACGCUGUCCACACUCUCCCCAAUAUCCUUUGGACACAGUAUGGAAAGAAAUCAGCUGAACUUCCCUGCUUACUGGAGGACCCAUGUCAAACAUAACCUAGAACAUGUUGAGAAAGGACAUUGUGGUCAGCGCAAUUGAUAUGUGAGAAAAAAAUCCAAUUAUCUUUCAGUGUAACACAGCACGAGCCUAAUCUCUUGUAGUAGUUUCUCGGCGUGCGGAAGCAAGUACUUGUCAAUAUGUGUUACUUAAGGGCAACUUAGAGUGCUCACUAGAUUAUAGACUUGUCACAUGAAAACUAUAAGCUUGAGUGAAGCUGUAACCAUCGGUACCUUUCUUGCACUUAUAAACGGACGCUCAUCUUGAUAAACAUUCUGUUGAUAAACUUCAUCUGCAAGCAGAACCAAGUUUUCCUGAUAGCAGAAGUUCAAAAGUUCCCUAAUAUUUGCUUCACUUAGGCAUUGACCAGUAGGGUUUCCUGGGUUUAUUAUCACCAUUGCUCGAACCUAGAUUGGAGGGAAAAAAAAUCAUCAGAGCUAAAUACAACUAGUAUACAUUAAGGAUAACAAUUUUAUAUAAGCAGCAUGACUACAACUAUAUAGAAAGAAGAAGAAAAUCAUGAACUAUGAGAAGGUGAAACAAAUUACACUGUCAAACACAAAACAUCCAACAAACAAUUUUACAAGUGUUUGUUUCUUCAAGCUAACUAUUAGACUACUGAUCUUUCUUCCCAAGAGUUAGUAGAGGUUUUAGUGUAGAGACUGAAGAUAGGCAAGGGUCUGAUUGCAGAGAAGACAAGCAUAGCAUUCUAGUUGGAUAAAAAUAAUACGUAAUCCCCUAAUUGGUUACAUCUAGUAUUUCUGAUGAGUAUGGAAGACAGUAUGAAAUAUACAUGCUAACUCCUAAACUAUAAAACACUUACAGUGAUUCCCUUUGACCGUGCUUCUGCAACUGAUUGCCGGGUACUGACAAGAUCAAGUCCCCAGUUAGCCUCUUCUUCCAAAUAAUACGGGACAAGAGAACCACCAAAGAGGGAAAUAGCAGCAGAAUAAAGCGGGUAUUGUGGAACAGGGACCAAAAUCUGCCAAGAAAGAUACAUGCAUCUCAACCACAUUGGGUUUAUUUACACUUAAUCUUAAGUAAGAUUCUGGGGGAAAGAUACGGCUUUCAAGGAUAACCAUACCCCGUCCCUCUCGUUUCUGAUAAUGGCGUUGAGCAUUUGCAUCACACCUUUGCUGGCACCAUCAGUGAGGUAGAUAAGCUCUGGAUCACUGCAAUAAGUAGAUCAUACAAUACAAUACCAGUGUGAGGAGGGAGGAAGGCUGACCAGAAAAACUGAGAUGUGCAAGUAGAUAGGAUAUUUUCAUCGGCGCUCUUGUUCAGUCUGACCUUGGAUACCCAUCACGCCUCUGAAUGAACUCGGCAACUUCCUGCCUAACCCCAGGGAUACCUCGGGAGUCACUGUAAGCACCUGAUGAGAUAGAUUACAAGUUGUGUCAGUCAAACACACACACGCAAAUAUAUACGUAAGACUACAGAAACAAUGGAACAUAGUACUGUAAUACAUGAGUGAGUAGAUAAAAGUGGAUAAUUAUUUGUUAUGUGAAGAAAUUAAAAAAUAGUCAGCUCUGCAUUUGUUAUCCACUUCCACUUGCAUGCAUAUAUAUGGAGUAAAAAAAAGGCACAAGUGUGAGUGCCUGAAGAAAACCUAGAAACAUCCUGGAUUAGGAGUAGUAGAAAAGAAGGGAUGGAUUUUGGGCGGACGAGAAUAUGUUUUACCUAAACCGCCGGGUGCGAGGGAGAGGUAGUGCUUGGCCCUCGCGAUGGCAUCGGCGGGGAAGAUGAGGCCGACGUUGGGAUCAUCGAGCAGAAAUGGAGCCUGGCAGAGCGCCACCACCUGCGCACCGAAAGGACAAGUAAGCAGACCCACCAACCUCCAAUCAAUCCUGUUUCCUAGGUUGGUGAAGAGAAGAAGAGGAUACGAACCUGGCGGGGGAAGGUGAGUGGCUUCUGGCCGAGGGCGUGCGGGUUGCCGACGUUGGUGAAGAUGAUCCUCUUGCCCUCCUUCUGGAGCUCGGAGGCGCGGAGGUAGAGCUCCCCGCGCACGGCGUACUGCACCUUCUUGACGUUCUCGUUGAGCUCCUCGUAGUCCAGGGCCUUCCUCCCCAUCAUCUCCUCGUCUUCUCCGGACGGAGGCAGAUCCCUCGUGCGCCGCCGCGGAGGGGAAAGGUGGGUGUGGGGGGUGAUGUGGAGAAGAAGGGAACCAAGAAACAGGGGAGCAGGUGGGAAUUUGUAGUGUAAUGGCAGGGCAGAGGCAGCGAGAUUCCUUGUCGCGUUGCUGGGCGUGCGCACUGCAGAUUAAUCAAGCGCGGAUAAUGUGGAGGAGACGAGACGGCAUCCGCUCAAUUUUCCUGCGCACCAAAGAGAAUGAGAUUUGCGCCCCGAAAUUGAGUGGGGAAAGGACUAGGAACUCGGGCUGGAGAUAAGAGCGGGAAUGGCCACAGGUUGGGUUAUCACCUCGCCUGCGGUGGACAAGGAACAAGCUCCUCUUGCCUGCCCGCCUGCCUGCCCCUUGGCACCUGGAGGGGAGCGCAAUAAUGCAGCAGCAGCAGCAGCAAUUCUCUUCCUUGUCUCCAUCCAUCCAUCUAUCUAUCCAUCUUCACACACGUAACUGGCUCUGCUUUGUUCUCCGUAGGAUAGGAAAGAUGCAAAAUGGUGCUAGUAAAUUGUUUCAGCUUCACAAAAAUAAGACUGAAACAGGGUAGUGUUGAGCAUUUGUCUAGGUGCUAGUAAAUUGCAACAACACUAGGAACACAAAUUCCCCCGUUUGUUUUCAUUCUUUGUAUCCGCAUCCACUGCAAAUUCAGAACCAACUAGGGACACAAAUUCCCCCGUUUGUUUUCAUUCUUUGUAUCCACAUCCACUGCAAAUUCAGAACCAACUAGGGAUGGAUCAUGGUGCUUGCUGAGCUAAUGUGGUACUCGUUUUUUUGUUUGUAUAUAUAUGCAUCUGUUACAAGUUCAGAACUAGGGAUAGCUAAUCUAUACUAGUAUCAUUUUUCUUUUCAAGUUAUAUAUAUAGUACGUACUCGAGAAUAUGGGUGAAACAAACAGGUUACUGUCCCCUUUGUCUUGUGUUCACUUCAUUCAUGCGGGUGUUCCAUUAUGUUGUCCCAAGCUGCUCUUAGGGUAUUUCUAACUGAUCCCCUAAAAAUAGCGGAGUAUCCCGCCGAGUAAACCUCCAUUAAGUUUUAAUCGGUUCUAUCCGAUCCCCUAAACUUAGCAGAGUAAAAUAUAAAUUUGCAUAAAUUCAACUUAAUUUCAAUCGAAAUUUGCAUGUAUUUAAACAUAAGUUCAACAUGAUCUUGACAACCGAACAUCAAACAUAAAUUCAAACUUAAACUACACUAAAAACUACUCAUCCUCAUCGGUCGUGGUGGAGGUCGAGGCAAUGUUUCCUCAAUAGGCCACCCUCGAUAUGACAUGGGUCCGGGCCGGUGCCGUCGUUGUCGUAGUCGGGGAAGAUGCUCCGCCACUCCUUGACGUCGAACUCCUCUUCCUCGCCGCCCUUCUUGCCCCCCCCCCACUACCAGGAAAGGCCUUGUAGGUGAAUGUUGGGGAACAUAGCAUGCAAUUUCAAAAAAUUUCCUACGCUCACGCAGAUCUAUCUAGGAGAUGCAUAGCAACGAGAGGGGAGAAUGUGUCCACAUACCCUCGUAGACCGAAAGCGUCUGACAACGUGGUUGAUGUAGUCGAACUUCUUCUCGUUCCGACCAAUCAAGCACCGAACGUACGACACCUCCGAGUUUUGCACACGUUCAGCUCAAUGACGUCCCUCGAACUCUUGAUCCAGCAAAGUGUCGAGGGAGAGUUUCGUCAGCACGAUGGCAUGGUGACGGUGAUGGUGAAGUGAUCCGCGCAGGGCUUCGCCUAAGCACUACGUGAAUAUGACCGGAGGAGUAAACUGUGGAGGGGGCGCCGCACACGACUAACAAUGUUUGUUGUGUGUUCUAGGCGCCCCUCCCCACAUAUAUAUAGGUGGGAGGGGGAGGGGGACAGCCAUGUGGCGCCCCAAGUAGGAGGAAUCCUACUUUGGGGCCUUGUCCAAUUCACCCCCCCCCCCCUUACCAUAUUUUCCGGAGAGGGAAGGAAAGGGGAGAGAGGAGGGAAGGAAGGGGGAGGCCGAAUUGCCUCCCCUUCCUUCUCUCUUACCCUUUUCCUUUCCCCUUCCUAUUCGGCCAGCAAGGGGGGCGCAGCAGCCCAUGCUGGCUGUUGCGUUUCCCCUCUUGGCCCAAUAGGCCCAUAUAGUUUGUCGAGGGUAGAUCGGAACCCCUUCCGGUGACCCGAUACGUACCCGGUACCCCCGGAACACUUCCGAUGUACAAAUACUAUCGUCCUAUAUAUGAAUCUUUAUCUCUUACCAUUUCGAGACUCCUCUUCCUGUCUGUGAUCUCAUCCGGGACUCCGAACAACAUUCGGUCACCAAAUCACAUAACUCAUAUAAUACAAAAUCGUCAUCGAACGUUAAGCGUGCAGACCCUAUAGGUUCGAGAACUAUUUAGACAUUACCAAGACACCUCUCCGGUCAAUAACCAACAUCGGAAGCUGGAUGCUCAUAUUGGUUCCUACAUAUUCUAAGAAGAUCUUUGUCGGUCGUACCGCAAAGACAACAUACGUAAUUCCCUUUGUCAUCGGUAUGUUACUUGUCUGAGAUUCGAUCGUCGAUAUCUUCAUACCUAGUUCAAUCUCUUUACCGGCAAGUAUCUUUACUCGUUCCGUAAUGCAUCAUCCCGUAACUAACUCAUUAGUCACAUUGCUUGCAAGGCUUAUCAUGAUGUGCAUUACCGAGAGGGCCCAGAGAUACCUCUUCAAUACUCGGAGUGCCAAAUCCUAAUCUCGAUCUAUGCCAACCCAACAAACACCUUUGGAGAUACCUGUAGAGUAUCUUUAUAAUCACUCAGUUACGUUGUGACGUUUGAUAGCACACAAGGUAUUCCUCCGGUAUCCGGGAGUUGCAUAAUCUCAUAGUCAAAGGAAUAUGUAUAAGUCAUGAAGAAAGCAAUAGCAAUAGAACUUAACGAUCAUUAUGCUAAGGUAACGGAUAGGUCUUGUCCAUCACAUCAUUCUCCUAAUGAUGUGAUCCUGUUCAUCAAAUGACAACACAUGUCUAUGGCUAGGAAACUUAACCAUCUUUGAUUAACGAGCUAGUCUAGUAAAGGCUUACUAGGGACACUGUGUUUUGUCUAUGUAUCCACACAUGUAUCAAUUUUCCGGUUAAUACAGUUCUAGCAUGAAUAAUAAACAUUUAUCAUGAUAUAAGGAAAUAUAAAUAACAACUUUAUUAUUCCCUCUAGGGCAAAUUUCCUUCAGUCUCCCACUUGCACUAGAGUCAAUAAUCUAGAUUCCAUUGUAAUGAUUCUAACACCCAUGGAGUCUUGGUGUUGAUCAUGUUUUGCUCGUGGAAAAGGCUUAGUCAACGGGUCUGCCACAUUCAGAUCCGUAUGCAUUUUGCAAAUCUCUAUGUCUCCAUCCUUGACUUGAUCACAGAUGGAGUUGAAGCGUCUCUUGAUGUGUUUGGUUCUCUUGUGAAAUCUAGAUUCCUUCGCCAAGGCAAUUGCUCCAGUAUUGUCACAAAAGAUUUUCAUUGGACCCGAUGCACUAGGUAUUACACUUAGAUCGGAUAUGAACUCCUUCAUCCACACUCCUUCAUUCGCCACUUCCGAAGCAGCUAUGUACUCCGCUUCACACGUAGAUCCCGCCAUGACGCUUUGCUUGGAACUGCACCAACUGACAGCUCCACCAUUCAAUAAAAAUACGUAUCCAGUUUGAGACUUAGAGUCAUAUGGAUCAGUGUCAAAGCUAGCAUCAGCGUAACCAUUUACGACGAGCUUUUUGUCACCUCCAUAAACAAGAAACAUAUCCUUAGUCCUUUUCAGGUACUUCAUGAUGUUCUUGACCGUUGUCCAGUGAUCCACUCCUGGAUUACUUUGGUACCUCCCCGCUAGACUUAUAGCAAGGCACACAUCAGGUCUGGUACACAACAUUGCAUACAUGAUAGAACCUAUGGCUGGGGCAUAGGGAAUGACUUUCAUUUUCUCUCUGACUCAACUUCACACCUUGUAACACAGGCAAGAACCCUUUUCUUUAUUGAUUCAUUUUGAACUUCUUCAAAACUUUAUCAAGGUAUGUAAUUUGUGAAAGUCCAAUUAAGCGUCUUGAUCUAUCUCUAUAGAUCUUGAUACCCAAUAUAUAAGCAGCUUCAUCGAGGUCUUUCAUUGAAAAACUCUUAUUCAAGUAUCCUUUUAUGUUAUCCAGAAAUUCUAUAUCAUUUUCAAUCAACAAUAUGUCAUCCACAUAUAAUAUUAGAAAUGCUACAGAGCUCCCACUUGUAAAUACAACCUUCUCCAAGUCUGUAUAAAACCAUAUGCUUUGAUGACCUUAUCAAAGCGUAUAUUCCAACUUCAAGAUGCUUGCACCAGUCCAUAAAUGGAUCGCUGGAGCUUGCACACUUUGUUAGCACCUUUAGGAUCGGCAAAACCUUCUGGUUGCAUCAUAUACAACUCUUCUUUAAGAAAUUCAUUUAGGAAUGCAGUUUUGACGUCCAUUUGCCAGAUUUCAUAAUCAUAAAAUGCGGCAAUUGCUAACAUGAUUCGGACAGACUUAAGCAUCGCUACGGGUGAGAAAGUCUCAUCGUAGUCAACUCCUUGAACUUGUCGAAAACCUCUUGCAACAAGUCGAGCUUUGUAGACGGUAACAUUACCAUCAGCGUCAGUCUUCUUCUCGAAAAUCCAUUUAUUCUCUAUGGCUUGCCGAUCAUCGGUCAAGUCAACCAAAGUCCAUACUUUGUUCUCAUACAUGGAUCCCAUCUCAGAUUUCAUGGCCCAAGCCAUUUCGCGGAAUCUGGACUCAUCAUCGCUUCCUCAUAGUUCAUAGGUUUGUCAUGGUCUAGUAACAUGACUUAUAGAACAGGAUUACCAUACCACUCUAGUGCGGAACGCACUCUGGUUGACCUAUGAGGUUCAGUAGUAACUUGAUCUGAAGUUUCAUGAUCAUUAUCAUUAGCUUCCUCUCUAGUUGGUGUAGGCAUCACGGGAACGGUUUUCUAUGAUGAGCUACUUUCCAAUUCAUGAGAAGGUACAAUUACCUCAUCAAGUUCUACUUUUCUCCCACUCACUUCUUUCAAGAGAAACUCCUUCUUUAGAAAGGAUCCAUUCUUAGCAACAAAAAUCUUGCCUUCGGAUCUGUGAUAGAAGGUAUACCCAAUAGUUUCUUUUUGGUAUCCUAUGAAGACACACUUCUCUGAUUUGGAUUCGAGCUUAUCAGGCUGAAGCUUUAAGCAUCGCAACCGCAAACUUUAAGAAACGACAUCUUAGGUUUCUUGCCAAACCAUGGUUCAUACGGUGUUGUCUCAACGGAUUUAGAUGAUGCCCUAUUUAACGUGAAUGCAUCUGUCUCUAAUGCAUAACCCCAAAACGAUAGUGGUAAAUUGAUAAGAGACAUCAUAAAUCGCACCAUAUCUAAUAAAGUACGAUUACGACGUUUGGACUCACCAUUACGCUGUGGUGUUCCAGGUGGCGUGAGUUGUGAAACUAUUCCACAUUGUUUUAAAUGAAGGCCAAACUCGUAACUCAAAUAUUCGCCUCCGCAAUCAAAUCAUAGAAACUUUAUUUUCUUGUUACGAUGAUUCUCCACUUCCCUCUGAAAUUCUUUGAACUUUUCAAAUGUUUCAGACUUGUGUUUCAUUAAGUAGAUAUACCCAUAUCUGCUCAAAUCAUAUGUGAAGGCUAGAAAAUAACGAUACCCGCCACGAGCCUCAACACUCAUCGGACCGCAUACAUUGGUAUGUAUUAUUUCCAAUAAGUUUGUGGCUCGCUCCAUUGUUCCGGAGAACGGAGUUUUAGUCAUCUUGCCCACGAGGCAUGGUUCGAAAGCAUAAAAUGAUUCAUAAUCAAGUGAUUCCAAAAGUCCAUCCGCAUGGAGUUUCUUCAUGCGCUUUACACCAAUAUGACAUAAAUGGCAGUGCCACAAAUAUGUUGCACUAUCAUUAUCAAAUUUGCAUCUUUUGGCAUCAAUAUUAUGAAUAUGUGUAUCACCACGAUCGAGAUUCAACAAAAAUAGACCACUCUUCAAGGGUGCAUGACCAUAAAAGAUAUUACUUAUAUAAAUAGAACAACCAUUAUUCUCUGAUUUAAAUGAAUAAUCGUCUCGCAUUAAACAAGAUCCAGAUAUAAUGUUCAUGCCCAACGUUGGCACCAAAUAACAAUUAUUCAGGUCUAAAACUAAUCUCGAAGGUAGAUGUAGAGGUAGCAUGCCGACGGCUAUCACAUCGACCUUGGAACCAUUCCCGACGCGCAUAGUCACCUCGUCCUUAGCCAAUCUUCGUUUAAUCUGCAGCCCUUGUUUCGAGUUGCAAAUAUGAGCAACAAAACCAGUAUCAAAUAUCCAGGCACUACUACGAGCAUUAGUAAGGUACACAUUAAUAACAUGUAUAUCAAAUAUACCUUUGUUCACUUUGCCAUCCUUCUUAUCCGCCAAAUACUUGGGGCAGUUCCGCUUCCAGUGACCAGUCCCUUUGCAGUAGAAGCACUUAGUUUUAGGCUUGGGUCCAAACUUGGGCUUCUUCCUGGGAGUGACAACUUGCUUGCCAUUCUUCUUGAAGUUUCCCUUCUUUCCCUUGCCCUUUUUCUUGAAACUAGUGGUCUUGUUAACCAUCAACACUUGAUGCUCUUUCUUGAUUUCUACAUCCGCAGCUUUGAGCAUAGCGAAGAGCUCGGGAGUUGUCUUAUCCAUCCCUUGCAUAUUAUAGUUCAUCAUGAAGCCUUGUAGCUUGGUGUCAGUGAUUGAAGAACUCUGUCAAUAACACUAUCAUCUGGAAGAUUAACUCCCAACUGAGUCAAGUGGUUAUGAUACCCAGACAUUCUGAGUAUGUGUUCACUGACAGAACUAUUCUCUGCCAUCUUGCAGCUAUAGAACUUGCUGGAGACUUCAUAUCUCUCAACUCGGGCAUUUGCUUGAAAUAUUAACUUCAACUCCUGGAACAUCUGAUAUGGCCCAUGAUGUACAAAACAUCAUUGAAGUCCCGAUUCUAAGCCGUAGAGCAUGGCACACUGAACUAUAGAGUAGUCAUCAGACUGCAUCUGCCAGACGUUCAAAGCGUCUACAUUAGCGGGAGGGGGCUUGUCACCUAGCGGUGCAUCAAGGACAUAAUUCUUAUGUGCAACAGUGAGGAUAAUCCUAAAGUUACGGACCCAGUCCGUGUAGUUGCUACCAUCAUCUUUCAACUUAGCUUUCUCUAAGAACGCAUUAAAAUUCAAGGAAAUGGUAGCACAGGCCAUUUAUCUACAACAUAGAUAUGCAAAAACUAUCAGUACUAAGUUCAUGAUAAAUUAAGCUCAAUUAAUCAUAUUACUUAAGAACUCCCACUUAGAUAGACAUCCCUCAAGUCAUCAAAAUGAUCACGUGAUCCAUAUCAACUAAACCAUGUUCGAUCAUCACGUGAGAUGGAGUAGUUUUCAAUGGUGAACAUCUCUAUGUUGAUCAUAUCUACUAUAUGGUUCAUGUUCGACCUUUCGGUCUCCAGUGUUCUGAGGCCAUUUCUGUACAUGCUAGGCUCGUCAAGUUUAACCUGAGUAUUUCGCAUAUGCAAAACUGUCUUGCACCCGUUGUAUGUGAACGUAGAGCUUAUCACACCCGAUCAUCAUGUGGUGUCUCGGCAUGACGAACUGUCGCAACGGUGCAUACUCAGGGAGAACACUUAUACUUUAAUUUUUUUUAGUGAGAGAUCAUCUUAUAAUGCUACUGUCGUACUAUGCAUAAAAGAUAAACAUCACAUGCAAUCAAAAUAUGUGACAUGAUAUGGCCAUCAUCAUCUUGUGCCUUUGAUCUGCAUCUCCAAAGCACCGUCAUGAUUUCCAUCGCCACCGGCUUGACACCUUGAUCUCCAUCAUAGCGUCGUUGUCGUCUCGCCAACUAUUGCUUCUACAACUACCGCUAACGCAUAGUGGUAAAGUAAAGCAAUUACAUGGUGUUUGCAUUUCAUACAAUAAAGCGACAACCAUAAGGCUCCUGCCAGUUGCCGAUAACUUCUACAAAACAUGAUCAUCUCAUACAAUAACGUAUAUCACAUCAUGUCUUGACCAUAUCACAUCAUAACAUGCCCUGCAAAAACAAGUUAGACGUCCUCUAUUUUGUUGUUGCAAGUUUUACGUGGCUGCUACGGGCUUCUAGUAAGAACCGUUCUUACCUACGCAUCAAACCACAACGGUGAUUUAUCAAUUUUGUUGUUUUAACCUUCAACAAGGACCGGCCAUAGUCAAAUUCGAUUGAACUAAAGUUGGAGAAACAGACACCCGCCAGCCACCUUUAUGCAAGACUAGUUGCAUGUCUGUCGGUGGAACCGGUCUCAUGAACGUGGUCAUGUAAGGUUGGUCCGGGCCGCUUCAUCCAACAAUAUCGCCGAAUCAAAAUAAGACAUUGGUGGUAAGCAGUAUGAUGAUCACCGCUCACAACUCUUUGGGUUCUACUCGUGCAUAUCAUCUACGCAUAGACCUGGCUUGGAUGCCACUGUUGGGGAACGUAGCAUGCAAUUUCAAAAAAUUUCCUACGCUCACGCAAGAUAUAUCUAGGAGAUGCAUAGCAAUGAGAGGGGGAGAGUGUGUCCACGUACCCUCGUAGACCGAAAACGGAAGCGUUUGACAACGCGGUUGAUGUAGUCGAAAACGUACGACACCUCCGAGUUCUGCACACAUUCAACUUGAUGACGUCCAUCGAACUCUUGAUCCAGCAAAGUGUCGAGGCAGAAUUUCGUUAGCACGACGGUGUGGUGACGGUGAUGGUUAACUGAUCCGCGCAGGGCUUCACCUAAGCACUACGUGAAUAUGACCGGAAGCGUAAACUCUGGAGGGGGCGCCGCACACGGCUAACAAUGUUUGUUGUGUGUUCUAGGCGCCCCUCCCCACAUAUAUAUAGGUGGGAGGGGGAGGGGGACAACCAUGGGGUGCCCCAAGUAGGAGGAAUCCUACUUGGGGGCCUUGUCCAAUUCGCCCCCCUUACCAUCUUUUCCGGAGAGGGAAGGAAAGGGGACAGAGGAGGGAAGGAAGGGGGAGGCCGAAUUGCCUCCCCUUCCUUCUCUCUUUCCUUUUUCCUUUCCCCUUCCUAUUCGGCCAGCAAGGGGGGCGCAGCAGCCCAUGCUGGCUGCUGUGUUUCCCCUCUUGGCCCAAUAGGCCCAUAUAGUUUGCCGAGGGUAGCCCGAAACCCCUUCCGGUGACCCGAUACGUACCCGGUACCCCAGGAACACUUCCGGUGUCCAAAUACUAUCGUCCUAUAUAUAUAUAUGAAAUCUUUACCUCUCGACCAUUUAGAGACUCCUCCUCAUGUCCGUGAUCUCAUCCGAGACUCCGAACAACAUUCGGUCACCAAAUCAGAUAACUCAUAUAAUACAAAAUCGUCAUCGAACGUUAAGCAUGCGGACCCUACGGGUUCGAGAACUAUGUAAACAUGACCAAGACACCUCUCCGGUCAAUAACCAAUAGCGGAACCUGGAUGCUAAUAUUGGUUCCUACAUAUUCUACGAACAUCUUUAUCAGUCGUACCGCAGUGACAACAUACGUAAUUUCCUUUGCCAUCGGUAUGUUACUUGUCCGAGAUUCGAUCAUCGGUAUCUUCAUACCUAGUUAAAUAUCGUUACCGGCAAGACUCUUUACUCGUUCCAUAAUGCAUCAUCCCAUAACUAACUCAUUAGUCAUAUUGCUUGCAAGGCUUAUCAUGAUGUGCAUUACCGAGAGGGCCCAGAGAUACCUCUCUGAAACUCAGAGUGACAAAUCCUAAUCUCGAUCUAUGCCAACCCAACAAACACCUCUGGAGAUACCUGUAGAGCAUCUUUAUAAUCACUCAGUUACAUUGUGACGUUUGAUAGCACACAAAGUAUUCCUCCGGUAUCUGGGAGUUGCAUAAUCUCAUAGUCAAAGGAAUAUGUAUAAGUCAUGAAGAAAGCAAUAACAAUAAAACUUAACGUUCAUUAUGCUAAGCUAACGGAUGGGUCUUGUCCAUCACAUGAUUCUCGUAAUGAUUUGAUCUCAUUCAUCAAAUGACAACACAUGUCUAUGGCUUGGAAACUUAACCAUCUUUGAUUAACGAGCUAGUCUAGUAGAGGCUUACUAGGGACACUGUCUUUUGUCUAUGUAUCCACAUAUGUAUCAAGUUUCCAGUUAAUACAAUUCUAGCAUAAAUAGUAAACAUUUAUCAUGAUAUAAGGAAAUAUAAAUAACAACUUUAUUAUUGCCUCUAGGGCAUAUUUCCUUUAGUGAACUCAAUAGAGUGGCGGGUGGGUCGAGGCACCCGCCACAGCAAGUUAGGAGGAGUAGCAGUGCCGGGUAACAAAAUGCUACCACCAGAGCUACCGGCACACCAGUGGCGGGCGAAAUACGUCACCCGCCACAAUAAAGCAGUGUUGAGCGUGGCUAGGUUAUAGAUGUUUGCUGUCACGAGUGACUUUGCUCACCCGCCACUAUUAUUAGGUAGCAGUGGCGGGCAGAGUGAAAUCCCCGCCACAGCUAAAAGCCUGCAACCGGUUAUUUUCUUAUGCAAAUACUAGUUGCGGCGGGCAGCCGGGCGCCCGCCACACAUAGGUUAGCGGUAGACUGUCCAAAUUCAACUCGAAGAUUGCCGCCCGCCACCCCAAAUUAGCAAUGGCUGGUCAUAUUGCGUGCCCGUCGUAGGUGAUGAGCACUAUCUGCACGCGCCCCCUCCCCUACCCCACUCUCACUCUCACUCCUCCCAUUUCACUCUCGUCGCCGCGCUCGCCCUCCACCGCGGCGUUGCCCAUGUCGUUGUCGCCGUCCAUUGCCGCCAUCGUCCUCGCCCUCCACCGCGUCGCCCUCGCCCUCGAUCCGCCGCCCCAUCGCCCUCCGCUCCAGCAGGUAUAAGGUCGCCGUCCCCACCUCUCUUUUUGGCCGUCCUCGUCGCCACCCACGGUCGCGGGUUUCAUGCACACGGACAGCCGCGGCUGCUGCCACGUUCGACUAGGGUUAUGGUUAGGGGUUUGAUUGUUGUAGUUUUAGUUUUUAGUUUCUAGCUAGUUUUAGUUUGAUAGUUGUAGUUUGUAGUAGUAUAGUUUUUAAUGCACAGAAUAAAACAAAUUGUAGUUGUAGUUUAUAGUUGUAGUUUGAUAUUUUUAAUUGUAGUUUAUAGUUGUAGUCUAUAGUUGUAGCAAUAGAACUAGCCGUAUAUAUGAACUCAACAGUCGUAUAGUUGUAGUUUGUAGUUCUUUACGGGAUACAUACUACAAGUGCUAAAGUUUUGGCGAAGCAUUGAUUUAUCUCUGUUUCGCCAAUUUAGCACUUAAUUUGUCCAUUUUUAUGAAAAGGCCAUGCCAUAUUUCUUUGUUUAUUUUUUAUUCAUAUUGUGUUGAAGUAGAUGUCUUCAUUUCUUUACAGAGAUUCAUACUAUAAGCGAAAAGUGCUAAAGUUUUGGCGAAAUGUAGAUUUAUUUCCGUUUCAACAAAUUUCUAGCUCGUAAUAUGUCCAUUUUUAUGCAGAAGUCAUGCCAAUUUUUUUGUUUGUUUUAAUUCAUAUUUGUGUUGUUAAGAUUUCUUCAGUUUUUUCUCCAAAUUUAUUUAUCUGCAUGUUUUAGGUUAUUUUUUUUUCCUGAAAUGGCGGACAAUGGCACGUACCGUGGUGUUUUCCAAAGGCCCUGGGGAAGUGGCAUGCCCAAAUCAAACUCCGUCACUGGCAAGAAACAAUAGCUUGGCACGUUCGACUUAACCGAGGAUGUGGCGCGCGCUUACGAUGCCAUGGUGCUUGAGUACUAGGGGCGAAGGGCCCAGCUCAACUUUCCUCAGGAUGCUUGGCGCAUUUGAGAUAGCGCCUCUAACAUGAAGAUAGUCUCCAAGGUCGAGGAGAAGGAGCACUUGAAGGCCAAGGCGCUCAUCAGGGCUCGCGAACGCCAGAUCACCGAUCCCUUGGUAGAACGGUAUCUUCGGGAGGAUCUGCAUCUGUACGCCAUCAAUGAGGCGUUCCUGAUGACCGCACGCAACCAGAAGGAUGCCGAGGAUGACCUGAUAGACUGGUAUAAUCUCAUCGAGGAGUUCAACGAGGAUGAUGAUGACAACUUCGGCUCUGACGUCGACUUAGAUUAGGAGUUGAUCUCUCCAUCGUGCCUAGUCGUAUAACUUCGUGCUUCAGAUAUUUGAACCUUUAAUGUAGUACUUAUGAUGAUGAUAAUGAGAGUCAGGAUGAUGAUGAUGCUAGCGACGAUGACGAUAGCCAGGAGUAUGAGGAUGAGAAAGAUGAUGAGGGUACCAGAGAUGAUGACAAUGAUGAUCCAUAUAAUUAUGCAAUUUUCUCUCAAAAAUGAAAGAGCUUAAUGAUGAUGAGAAGGCCAAUCUCAUCGCGAUCCUACCAUCAAGUGUGCACUACUUGGGGAGGCCAUUUAUGCACCGUUUUACCAAGACCAACAUCGUGAAACACACCAUGGUAUGUUUAUAUCUUUUCUCUUUUUUUAUUCAUAACACUAUAUGGCAAGAUGUCUAACAUUGCGUGCUCUAUUCUGUUUUAAAUCACGAGGACAUCCUUACUGCCGGCAUGACUGGAGUAUGUCUUGGAGCAGCAGGUCUUGUCACCAGCGUUCGAUACAAGACGGACAUAGACGGCCGCAUAUCGUUCUAUGAGGUCGACCGGCGGGAAUUCCUGAAGGAAAAGAGACGACGACUAACGGUUGACACAACAGUGGUCAUCAUGAUAAGGAACAAUAGGAGCAGCAACAACUUACAGAUGAUGGUCGUUGUAAAUCUUAUUUAGAAAUAAGAUCCAGUCAAAUAUCUCCAAGUUGAUGAACUCUUAGUUACUCAGUAAGAUACCAAUGAUACUUUGAUGUUGGUUUGUUAACUUGAACAAAUUUGAAGUGUUAGUAGUUGUUAUGAAGAGUACUAAUUACCUAAUGAACUUGCAUGCCUAAGCUUACAAUGCGUGCUUUAUUUCAAUGUAGUAUUGAAUUUCUUAUAUUGGAUUUAUGCAAAACGCAUCCAUGGCAAAACAAUUGGCGCCAUGGCUGCAAUUUUUUUGAUUCACAUGAAUAAGCCUGCAGUGGCGGGCGCUCUAGUACAUCCGCCGUUGCAAAUAUGAAUAAAUAGUGACGGGUGCUCUAGUACAUCCAUUUUUUACUCCACCAUAGUGUAUUGGGAAUCGGUUAGGUCCCGAUUAGAGGAGUAAAAUCGAGGUUUUACUGCUCUAAUCGGUUAUUGGGAUGAGAAAUGCCUUUACAAACAAUGUCCUGGACUGUCACCGUUUAGAAAUCCAUUUUCUUUUCUAACUACACACAGCACAGCGGGGCGGGGUGUAAUCCGAUAAGUUUGCUGGUUACAAUCCGACAUCUGCAACAGGCGGGUGGAUAGAUGGAUCGAGAUAUACUGUACUCUGCAUGCAUGUGCAUGUUGUUGAUCAUGCCGGGUCACUUCUUCAUAUUGACCCACUCCAGCUUCAGCAUUAUUUCCCCACUCUCGACGUUCCGGAGGCGCAGGAUCAUGUCCUGGACGAACUUGCCGUUCUUCCAGCACACGCGGCUCUCCUCGGCGAGGCAGUUCCCGCUGCUCGGCGCGACCGACCGCACCACGGUGCCGUUGCGGAUGCCCUCGGUGUCCAGUUCCAGGACCUCCGUAAAGGGCAGCACCUCGAUGUCCGCGUUCCCCAUUGGGUCGUCCUUGCUGAAGGUGUCCUUGUCAAACACCGCCUGUACAGUACAGCACAUCACAGCACAGUUUUCUUCAACGUAGAUGGAACGUGUUUCUUAACAGAUUGCAAGAAAACAGUAUGUAGUACUCACAAGCUUGAUCGGUGCAUUCGGGUUCGUGAUUGACAGGGUUAACUCCUCAUGCCAGAUAGGGUUCACAGAUCGCUUCUUCACGCUGGUCUUCAGUUUCUGCAAUGGCACAAUUUUUUUACAGAAAAUAGUACGAGAAUAAUCAAUAGUAAUACAGUCAUACAGAAUCAUGGACAAGAAGAAGAAGAAGAAGAAGAAGAAGAAGAAGAAGAAGCAAUGAGAGACCGGACACCUGCUUGCCGAGGCGAAGGACAACAUAUGGAUCACUGCCUCUUGCGUCGCGGUAGGCAAGGUUGAUCC
rnacentral:lncRNA from 1 species